AUCCAGUAGGAGGCCACGCACGAGUCCCUCGCACCUACACAAACAAAUAAAAUCCUCGCAACCAACGCAAUAAAGGGGUUGUCAAUCCCUUCACGGUCACUUACGAAAGUGAGAUCUGAUAGAUUUGAUAAGAUAAUAUUUUUGGUAUUUUUAUGAUAAAGAUGCAACGUAAAGAAAGCAAAAUAAAAACAGCGCUAGAAAUAGCUUGUUGACGGGAGAUUAAAUAUGAUGGAAAAUAGACCGGGGGGCCGUAGGUUUCACUAGUGGCUUCUCUCGAGAGCAUAAGUAUUUCGGUGGGUAGACAAAUUACUGUUGAGCAAUUGACAGAAUUGAGCAUAGUUAUGAGAAUAUCAAGGUAUGAUCAUGUAUAUAGGCAUCACGUCCGAGGCAAGUAGCCCGACUCCUGCCUGCAUCUACUACUAUUACUCCACACAUCGACCGCUAUCCAGCAUGCAUCUAGAGUAUUAAGUUCAAAAGAACAGAGUAACGCUUUAAGUAAGAUGACAUGAUGUAGAGGGAUAAACUCAUGCAGUAUGAUAUAAACCCCAUCUUGUUAUGCUCGAUGGCAACAAUACAAUACGUGCCUUGCUGCCCCUACUGUCACUGGGAAAGGACACCGCAAGAUUGAACCCAAAGCUAAGCACUUCUCCCAUCGCAAGAAAGAUCAAUCUAGUAGGCCAAACCAAACUGAUAAUUUGAAGAGACUUGCAAAGAUAACCAAUCAUACAUAAAAGAAUUCAGACAAGAUUCAAAUAUUGUUCAUAGAUAAACUUGAUCAUAAACCCACAAUUCAUCGGUCUCAACAAACACACCGCAAAAGAAGAUUACAUCGAAUAGAUCUCCACAAGAGAGGGGGAGAACAUUGUAUUGAGAUCCAAAAAGAGAGAAGAAGCCAUCUAGCUAAUAACUAUGGACCCGAAGGUCUGAGGUAAACUACUCACACAUCAUCGGAGAGGCUAUGGUGUUGAUGUAGAAGCCCUCCAUGAUCGAUGCCCCCUCCGGCGGAGCUCCGGAAAAGGCCCCAAGAUGGGAUCUCAUGGGUACAGAAGGUUGCGGCGAUGGAAUUAGGUUUUUGGCUCCGUAUCUGGUAGUUUUGGGGGUACGUAGGUAUAUAUAGGAGGAAGAAGUACGUCGGUGGAGCAACGUGGGCCCCACGAGGGCGCGCCCCCUACCUCAUGCCUUCCUGGUAGAUUUCUUGACGUAGGGUCCAAGUCCUCUAGAUCACGUUCGUUCCCAAAAUCACGUUUCCGAAGGUUUCAUUCCGUUUGGACUCCGUUUGAUAUUCUUUUUCUGUGAAACUCUGAACUAGGCAAAAAACAGCAAUUCUGGGGUGGGCCUCCGGUUAAUAGGUUAGUCCCAAAAAUAAUAUAAAAGUGUAUAAUAAAGCCCAUUAAUGUCUAAAACAGAAUAUAAUAACGUUGGAGACGUAUCAAGCAUCUCCAAGCUUAAUUCCUGCUCGUCCUCGAGUAGGUAAAUGAUAAAAACAGAAUUUUUAAUGUGGAAUGCUACUUGGCAUAAUUUGAAUGUAAUUCUCUUAAUUGUGGUAUGAAUAUUUAGACCCGAAAGAUUCAAGACAAAAGUUUAAUAUUGACAUAAAAAUAAUAAUACUUCAAGCAUACUAACUAAGCAAUUAUGUCUUCUCAAAAUAACAUGGCCAAAGAAAGUUAUCCCUACAAAAUCAUAUAGUCUAGCUAUGCUCUAUCUUCACCACACAAAGUAUUUAAAUUAUGCACAACCCCGAUGACAAGCCAAGCAAUUGUUUCAUACUUUUGAUGUUCUCAAACUUUUUCAAUCUUCACGCAAUACAUGAGCAUGAGCCAUGGACAUAGCACUAUAUGUGGAAUAGAAUGGUGGUUGUGGAGAAGACAAAAAAGGAGAAGAUAGUCUCACAUCAACUAGGCGUAUCAACGGGCUAUGGAGAUGCCCAUUAAUAGAUAUCAAUGUGAGUGAGUAGGAAUUGCCAUGCAACAGAUGCACUAGAGCUAUAAGUAUAUGAAAGCUCAACAAAAGGAACUAAGUGGGUGUGCAUCCAACUCACUUGCUCAUGAAGACCUAGGGCAUUUUGAGGAAGCCCAUCAUUGGAAUAUACAAGCCAAGUUCUAUAAUGAAAAUUUCCCACUAGUACAUGAAAGUGAUAUCAUAGGAGACUCUCUAUCAUGAAGAUCAUGGUGCUACUUUGAAGAACAAGUGUGGUAAAACGAUAGUAACAUUGUCCCUUCUCUCUUUUUCUCUCUUUUUUAUUUGGGUCUUUUAUCCUUUUUUUAUGGCCUCUUUUUUUUUAGUCCGAAGACUCAUCACGACUUGUGGGGGAAUCAUAGUCUCCAUCAUCCUUUCCUCACUUGGGACAAUGCUCUAAAAAAAUGAUGAUCAUCACACUUUUAUUUACUUACAACUCAACAAUUACAACUCAAUACUUAGAACAAAAUAUGACUCUAUGUGAAUGCCUCCGACGGUAUAUCGUGAUAUGCAAUGAAUCAAGAGUGACAUGUAUGAAAGAAUUAUGAACGGUGGCUUUGCCACAAAUACAAUGUCAACUACAUGGUCAUGGAAAGCAAUAUGACAAUGAUGGAGUGUGUCAUAAUAAACUGAACGGUGGUAAGUUGCAUGGCAAUAUAUCUCGGAAUGGCUAUGGAAAUGCCACGGUAGGUAGGUAUGGUGGCUGUUUUGAGGAAGGUAUAUGGUGGGUGUAUGAUACCGGCGAAAAGUGCGCGGUAUUAGAGAGGCUAGCAAUGGUGGAAGGAAGAAAGUGCGUAUAAUCCAUGGACUCAACAUUAGCCAUAAAGAACUCAUAUACUUAUUGCAAAAAUCUACAAGUUAUCGAAGCAAAGUAUUACCCGCAUCAUUCUAGGGGGAUAGAUUGGUAGGAAAAGACAAUCACUCGUCCCCGACCGCCACUCAUAAGGAAGACAAUCAAUAAAUAAAUCAUGCUCCGACUUCAUCACAUAACGGUUCACCAUACGUGCAUGCUAAGGGAAUCACAAACUUUAACACAAGUAUUUCACAAAUUCAAAACUACUCAACUAGCAUGACUCUAAUAUCACCAUCUCCAUAUCUCAAAACAAUUAUCAAGUAUCAAACUUCUCAUAGUAUUCAACACACUCAUAAGAUUUUUUUACUAAUCUUGAGUGCCUAUCAUAAUUAAAGCAAAUUACCACGCUGUUUUGUAGGACUAUCAAAAUAAUCUAAGUGAAUCAUGAGAGAACAAUAGUUUCUAUAAAACAAAACCACCACCGUGCUCUAAAAGAUAUACGUGAAGCACUAGAGCAAAAACUAUAUAGCUCAAAGGAUAUAAGUGAAGCACAUAGAGUAUUCUAACAAUUUCUGAAUCAUGUGUGUCUCUCUCAAAAGGUGUGUACUGCAAGGAUUAUUGUGGCAAACUAACAAAUAAAGACUUCAAAUAAUACAAGACGCUCCAAGCAAAACACAUAUCAUGUGGUGAAUAAAAAUAUAGCUCCAAGUAAAGUUACCGAUGGAAGUAGACGAAAGAGGGGAUGCCUUCCGGGGCAUCCCCAAGCUUUGGGUUUUAGGUGUCCUUAGAUUAUCUUGGUGUGCCAUGGGCAUCCCCAAGCAUAGGCUCUUGCCACUCCUUGUUUCAUAAUCCAUCAAAUCUUUCACCCAAAACUUGAAAACUUCACAACACAAAACUCAGCAGAAAAUCUCGUGAGCUCCGUUAGCAAAAAACAAAACACCACUUCAAGGUACUGUAAUGAACUCAUUCUUUAUUUAUGUUGGUGUUAAACCUACUGUAUUCCAACUUCUGUAUGGUUUAUAAACUAUUUUACUAGCCAUAGAUUCAUCAAAAUAAGCAAACAACACACGAAAAACAGAAUCUGUCAAAAACAGAACAGUCUGUAGUAAUCUGUAACUAACGCAAUUUUCUGGGACUCCAAAAAUUGACCCAAAAUAGGAAGACCUAGACAAUUUUUUUAUUGAUCAGCAGCAAUUGGAAUUAAUAUUUUAUCACGUCCUGGUGAUUUUUAACAAUUAUUUUCGUGAACAGAAAGUUUCUGGAAUUUUCAGCAAGAUCAAAUAACUAUCAUCCAAGAAGAUCCUAUAGGUUAAACUUGGCACAAACACUAAUUAAAACAUAAAAACACAUGUAACCAGAGGCUAGAUCAAAUAUUUAUUCCUAAACAAAAGAAAAAAUCAUAAAAACUAAAAAUAAAAUUGGGUUGCCUACCAACAAGCGCUAUCGUUUAACGCCCCUAGCUAGGCAUAAUAGCAAUGAUAGAUCUAGGUAUUGCCAUCUUUGGUAGGCAAUCCAUAAGUGGCUCUCAUAAUAGAUUCAUAAGGUAAUUUUAUUUUCUUUCUAGGGAAGUGUUCCAUGCCUUUCCUUAAUGGAAAUUGGAAUCUAAUAUUCCCUUCCUUCGUAUCAAUAAUUGCACCAAUCGUUCUAAGGAAAGGUCUACCAAGAAUAAUAGGACAUGAAGGAUUGCAAUCUAUAUCAAGAACAAUAAAAUAUAUGGGCACAUAAUUCCUAUUUGCAACAAUAAGAACAUCAUCAAUUCUUCCCAUAGAUUUCUUAAUGGUGGAAUCCGCAAGGUGCAAGUUUAAAGAGCAAUCAUCAAAAUCACGGAAACCUAGCAAAUCGCACAAAAUCUUUGCAAUCGUGGAAACACUAGCACCCAAAUCACACAAAGCAUAGCAUUCAUGAUCUUUAAUUUUAAUUUUAAUAGUAGGUUCCCACUCAUCAUAAAGUUUUCUAGGGAUAGAAACUUCCAACUCAAGUUUUUCUUCAUAAGAUUGCAUCAAAGCAUCAACGAUAUGUUUAGUAAGGCUUUAUUUUGACUAUAAGCAUGUGGAGAAUUUAGCACGGAUUGCAACAAGGAAAUACAAUCUAUCAAAGAGCAAUUAUCAUAAUUAAAUUCCUAGAAAUCCAAAAUAGUGGGUUCAUUAAUAUCUAGAGUUUUGAUUUCUUCAAUCCCACUUUUACCAUUUUUUGCAUCAAGAUCUAAAAACUCCGAAUUUUUGGAACGCCUUCUAGGUAGAGGUGGAUCAUAUUCAGUCCCAUCAUUAUCAAGAUUCAUAUUGCAAAACAAAGAUUUAAUAGGGGACACAUCAAUAACUUUUAGAUCUUCAUCUUUAUUUUCAUAGAAACUAGAAGAACACGCUUUCACAAAACAAUCUUUCUUAGCACGCAUCCUAGCGGUUCUUUCUUUGCACUCAUCAAUGGAAAUUCUCAUGGCCUUGAGAGACUCAUUGAUAUCAUGCUUAGGAGAAAUUGUAUCAGCGUUCCUAGCCAAUUCAUCAAAUUUAAGCAAUUUUUCUUCAAGCAAAGCAUUGAAAUUGUUUUGCGAAUUCAUAAAUUCUUUAACACUAGUCUCAAAUUCAGAAGGCAUCUUAUUAAAAUUUCCAUAAUAAUUGUUGUAGGAAUUACCAUAAUUAUUAGAGGAAUUACUAGGAUACGACCUUGGAUUAAAGUUUCCUCUAUACGCGUUGUUACCAAAAUUAUUCCGACCAACAAAAUUCACAUCCAUAGAUUCAUUAUUAUUCUCAAUCAAAGUAGACAAAGGCAUAUCAUUAGGAUCAGAAGAAACACUUUUAUUAGCAAAUAAUUUCAUAAGUUCAUCCAUCUUUCCACUCAAAACAUUAAUUUCUUCUAUCGCAUGCACUUUUUUAUUAGUGGAUUUUUCGGUGUGCCAUUGAGAAUAAUUAACUAUAAUAUUAUCUAGGAGUUUAGUAGCUUCUCCUAAAGUGAUUUCCAUAAAAGUGCCUCCCGCGGCCGAAUCUAAAAGAUUUCUAGAAGAAAAAUUCAAUCCGGCAUAAAAUUUUUGUAUAAUCAUCCACAAAUUCAAACCAUGAGUAGGGCAAUUACGUAUCAUUAAUUUCAUCCUCUCGCAAGCUUGUGCAACAUGUUCAUGAUCAAGUUGCUUAAAAUUCAUAAUAUCAUUUCUAAGAGAGAUGAUCUUAGCGGGAGGAAAAUACUUAGAGAUAAAAGCAUCUUUGCACUUAUUUCAAGAAUCACUACUAUUUUUAGGCAAAGACAAAAACCAAGCUUUAGCACGAUCUCUAAGCGAAAAAGGAAAUAGCUUCAAUUUAACAAUAUCUUUGUCCACAUCUUUCUUCUUUUGCAUAUCACACAAAUCAACGAAGUUGCCAUGUCUAGGAAUGCUUGAAGCUUCAAAGAUUUCCUAUAAUACAACAUGCCUCUAACUAUUCACAAUAAGAAAAACAUGUAAAUGCGGAAUCAACCAAAUGAUGGUAAAUUGUAGUUGAUUUUGGCCAAGCAAACGUGAGAUGAAAGAAACAUACAUGAGUGAACAUCACGAUUGGAUGUUUUAUUCAAAUUUAACAGGUUAAACUCACCAAAUCCAUCUGGAUAUUUAGUAUUAAACUUUAACAGAUGGUCAGUUGUAGCUAGAUUCACACCACUGAAGCAAAAUUCCAUCUGCCACGGUUACAUCACACCAUCUUUUCAUCGUUACUAUUUAAAUUCCAAAUGCCUGCAACUCAUUUUUUUGUUAUGAUGUAUGCAUGAUUUUUAACUCAAGAGGAAGAGGGGAAACUAAAUCCAAGAAAAGAACACCAAGGAAGCAUCCAAAAUAGAGAAAGGAAAAAUCCAAAAUAGAGGCAGAAUCGAAGGGAAGAAACCCCAUAAAAAAUAGGAGAUCAAACGGUGAAAAAAAUCUAAGAGUCAAACAAUUCCAGGUAAGACCAAAUCGACGGCAAAAUAGCACAAGAGGGACUCACAUUAACAGGUAUACCAGGUAUACCAAUUCAGAAAGAAGUGUAAAGCGAACAGUGCAAUGGACCACUAGUAUAAAUUGGAUGUACACAAACAUGGGACUUAAACAGGAACUGCGAGAUGCAGGGUUCACGUGCAAACCCAAAAAACGGAAAACUGAAACCCACAACAAGAUUUUAUCUUCAUGUUUGUGUAUUAGUUGCUUCUUCCGAAUCCCCACCUAUCAAGCGUUUUCUCUGAAUAAACAAACAGAAUAGUAUUCUCUGAAUUAUACUGUACAACGGUAUUUAACAAAGCGACUGGAAUUAACAAUAUUAUGAGCUAUUGGCUUUUUAGUCAGGUAAAUAUCAUUCUUAAGACUACGGAAAACAGCAGGCGGCGAAGAAAACAUCUAUUGAUGAGAACUAUACACAUACUUAAGAAGGAAGUGACAUCUAUGGUAGCAGAACAUAUAUCAAGCUGUUGCAGCUACAUUAGCAGUUUAGCACAGUUCCUCCAUAAUACACAGGCUAGUGUAAUUUCACAAAUACAAUAAGCUAACAAUAUAUAUUUGGUAGAUGGAAAUGGCUGGAUCAUGACCAAUAUACCAUUACACAUCCGAUGAUGCAAAUAAAGAAACGAGGCCCAACAAUAGUGGAAAAUAAACCACAAUAGAACAUGUAUUUGGCGAAACCUCCAUACUGCAAUAUCAAACAUGAAUUGAAAUUAACAAUCUAGCAAAAAAACAUGACAGAUGCAGUCUUGGUCAUUUUUCCUUUUGUGACAUCCCCUAAAAAAGUAAAAACAAUGUUGUUCGUAUUUUACCAGAGAUACACUGAGCUGGGACAAUUCGGUCUGAAAUAAAAUAUGAUGGCUUCGGAGGAUUCGGAAGGCAAGAAAUUUGCUUUCUUCCAACAUAUAUGGUCUGCUGAACUAAACUUCGUUUCAACGGGCUUUGGCAAAAAUUUGUAACUGCAAACAUCAACUUGUGUGCCCGUCCUACGUCAAACUUUAACCCUGACGGAUUAAAUAUUUUAGGUUAGGCUGAGAUCAGUGUACUUUAUGAGUGUUAAGUGUACUUUCUAAAUAGCAGAGAAACCAUAACAUCUAAGCACAACCCAGCAACUUGUACAAGCUAACAUCAAAUCUGAAAGAGGAAAUGUCGAGAACAGGUGAAGGUACCAUGAUCCACGACUGAGCAAAGUUAUCUAUAAUCCUCGGUGAAUAUCAUAAAUUAGGAUCAACUACGCUGAAGAACAAACGGGAAAGGAACCUAGAAAGAUCUUCUGCCGGUAGAAUAUAACUGAUACACUAUCCUCAUUCUCGAGAUCAAGGUCGUUUCUUGAAUUGCAGUUUCCUCACUGUAGUAUGGGGUCAUUACACUGCGAAGAACAAAGUGUCAUAUGAAUCAUUUAGAGCCCAAUAUUUUUCACUGAAACUCUUAUGAUCACAUAACGAAUUUAAACAUAAGGUUUAUUAGAUAUUUGUUGUUGUGAACAGAUAAUAUAUUUCUGGUGUUGACAAUGUUUUGAUUAUGGAUGCACUUCAAGAUGGGUGGCACAGAUUCUGUUGUACAGGCCUCCACCUGGAAUUUCAUCACUUGUUAUUUUUGUUUUAGAAUGUCUAGGUGCAUUUUUCCUUUAAGGUGGAAACAGAUGUACUUGUAUAAGCAACAAGAAUACAAAGCGCCACUGCCAUACAUUGUGGAAGUUCAGUGCUUCUGUUUACAAAAUCUGCUUCCCAAAACAGAAGGAUUUAUAAUUUUUUAUUACAAUCAAGCGGACAUGAGCUGAUGAGUACAGAUGUAGACAUGUACUGAGAGCAGCACCCUUUCAAAAGUGGAUCAUUUACAAGUUGGAUAGUUUGAUGGUCUGAAAUUAGUGGUCGUGUUUCAGAAUUGUUAUCGAAUAGUAGGGGAUAUAUAUUAACUUCUGAAAUUAGUGGCUGUUUGUCAGAACUGUUAUCGAAUAACAGAGCACAUAUAUUAACUUCAAUAAGUGGAGUAAUAUUUUUGGAUUCGCUGUGAGGAAAGAUUACCAAAACAAAACAGAAGUGAGUGCGAGGACCCAGAUCAAGGCGCUCUUGAGCCUCUUCCCGACCGACCUAGAUGCAGGAGCAGAACACGGCGGAUCUAAUCAGCCAACGAAUAAAGCUGAGGCAGGUAGAGGAAGUAAGGGAGGAAGAAGACUGACUUUUCCUGGUCGCCCUCGUAGUAGAACCUGUGUUUUGAUUUUCGGCCGAAAAAAGUGGAUUUCGGCCAUCUCGGCCUGGGGCGAAAAGUGUAUUUAGGCCGAAAUUGUUCAAAUUUAGCAAAUUUUGGUCAAAUUUAAGUCAAAUUGCAGUCAAAAUUUGGUCAAAUUUCAGCCGAAAUUUUUGAAAAUGGCCGAAAUUCGGCCAUCUCAGCCUAGGGAGAAAAAAAAGCUCAAACCGAAAAUCAAAACACAGAGUAGAACAUGGCGAACAGGAUGACGAGGAAGACGAGGACAGCGUCGAGGAUGUAGACGACGAGCCAGAGCGUGUUCAUGGGCAGGAUCAAGCAUGGGCAGGAUAAGGGCGCAGGCCCCGUUGUAGGCGGCGUGCUUGCAGGCCUGGCGGUUGGCGACGUCGGCGGGGAGCAUGAGGAUGGCGAGGACGGCGACGGUGAUGCCGAGCACGACGACGAGCUUGAGGAAGUAGGCCUGGUUGGCAUCAUCCGGCUGCUGGUAGUUGACGAGCAGGUAGACGCUGACGAGGAGCACCAGGAUGCUGACCACCGCCGCCACGAUCACUAGCGCCACGUUAAAAACCCCAUCUCCUCGGGGCUCCGGUCCCGGUUCCGGCCCGCCGCCUCGCCCCCAUUGGUCGGUCAGAUCUCUCUGUCCCUAGAGGCGGGGGGACACAGGCUAGGGUUUGGGCGUGGGCGGGGAAUAGGCUGCUAUGGUGCCGGCAGCGGGGCGUGUAGGAGAGAAGGAUUAGGAGGAAUAAUUCACCACACUUUGCUUAAGCUCUCGGCUGGUUCUUAUGUAUAGAUUACAGGGCCAGCCAGGGAGAUCAUGGGGUGAUCCACUACCUGGGAUCGUGCGCCACGAUCACUACAUGCGUGCGCCACGAUCAUAUACACACACGCUACACCUAGUGUCUACGCAACUACGGUAUAGCAGUACAGUACAGUCUAACACCCCCCCGCAGUCGUGACGUCGUCGGCGGCGACGCAAAGACUGGACCGGAACUCAGAGAAAACAUCCGAUGGCAGGCCUUUGGUCAUGAUGUCCGCGAGUUGUUGGCGCAUGGGGAUGUGAAGAACACGGAAGUGGCCGAGGGCGACGCGCUCCCGCACGAAAUGGAUGUCCAGCUCCACAUGCUUAGUGCGGCGAUGAUGCACCGAAUUGGCUGACAGGUAGACUGCGGACACAUUGUCAUAGUACACCAGUGCCGCCUUGGUCACUGGAGCGGAGAGCUCGCCGAGAAACUGGCGGAGCCAGAUGCAUUCAGCGACCGCGUUGGCAACGCCGUGGUAUUCAGCUUCGGCACUGGAGCGCGAUACGGUCGCCUGGCGCUUGGAGGACCAGGAGAUGAGAGCAUCGCCGAGGAAGACGCAGAAGCCCGACGUGGAGCGUCGGGUGUCGGGGCAGCCGGCCCAGUCCGCGUCGGUGAACGCACGGACGUCGAGCGUGGUCGAGGCGCGAAGAUGAAGCCCGAGUGUGCAGGUGCCCUUCACGUACCGGAGCACGCGCUUGACGAGCGCGAGGUGACAUUCGCGCGGGUCAUGCAUGUGCAAGCAGAUUUGCUGGACGGCGUAGGCGAUCUCUGGGCGCGUGAUGGUGAGGUAGUGCAGGGCCCCGGCGAUGCUCCGAUAGGCUGAGGGGUCGUCGACGCAGGGCCCAUCGGCUGAGGGGAGUUUGCUCUUCGUGUCGAUGGGUGUCGGGGAAGGGUGGCAGGUGUCCAUGCCGGCGCGUUCCAGGAGUUCGUCGGCAUAUUGUUGUUGCGACAGGAAGAAGCCAGCUCGGGUGCGGGUCACGCGGAUGCCGAGGAAGAAGGCGAGCGAGCCCAGGUCCUUCAUGGUGAAUUCGCCUGUGAGGCGUUGGAUGACAUGGUGAAGCACGCGUGACGAGGACGCGGUGAGCACGAUGUCGUCGACGUAGAGGAGGAGGAACGCCAUGUCGUUGCCGUGCCGGAAGGUGAACAGCGACGAGUCCGAACGCGUAGCUGCGAAGCCAAUGGAGCGGACGAAGCCGGCGAAGUGGAGGAACCAGGCACGGGGCGCCUGCUUGAGCCCGUACAAGGACUUGGAGAGGCGGCGAACGUGCUCUGGUUUGUCGGGGUCGACGAAUCCGGCGGGCUGGAGGCAGUAGACUUCCUCCUCCUAGUUGCCGUGGAGGAAGGCGUUGGAGACGUCGAGGUGGUGCACCGGCCAGCCGCGUGACGCGGCCAGAGUGAGCACCGUGUGGAUCGUCGCUGGCUUGACGACGGGGGAGAACAUCUCGCCGUAGUCGACGCCGGCACGCUGAUGAAAGCCCCGCACGACCCAGUGUGCUUUGUAGCGGGCCAGCGCGCCGUCGGCGUCGUUUUUGUGCUUGAAGAUCCACUUCCCUGUGAUCAGGUUGGCGCCCGGGGGGCGGGCACCAGCUCCCACGUGCGAUUGCGCACGAGCGCAUGGCACCGAGCCAGUUCGGGUCGCGAACAGCAGCGCGAAGCGAACGUGGCACCGGCGACACCGAUGAUGAGGUAGAGGCGGUGGCCGCGUCGUAGUAGCGUGGGUUGGGGCGGAAGAUGCCGCGCUGGGCACGCGUGACCAUGGGCACAGGAGGCGCCGGUGCGCGGCGCGCCGCUGGUGGCGCGCUCGGAGACGAGCUGUCGGAGGAGCCGCUGGCGGAGUUGUCGGAGGAGCCGCUGGCGGAGGCGAAGACAGGCGGACCAGGCGCGGAUGGGCACGUCGAGGAUGGAGCCGAGCCGCCAUCGGAAGCGCCCGCAGCGUACCGCGAGCUGACGCGGCGCGCCUCGCUGGUUGGCGAGGAUGAGCGGGGCAGGCCGGUGAUGGAGAUCGGGCGCGCCGGCAGCACGGGUGACAUGCUGCUGUCAGGCACCAGUGGAAGCGCGGGCAGCGCAGGAGGCCGGACGACGAGCGGGAUCUGCAGGGUAGAGGGUAUGACGGGUGGCGUAGGCGACGGGGAAGAGGAUGCGAACGGGAAAACGUGUUCGUGGAAGAGAACGUGGCGAGACGUGAGGACGCGGCGAGAGGUGAGGUCAAAGCAGCGAAAACCACGAUGAUCGGGAGGGUACCCGAGGAAGACGCAGGCGAUAGAACGUGGCUCGAGCUUAUGGCGGGUGGUGGCGGUGACGUUCGGAUAGCAGAGGCAUCCAAAGACGCGGAGCUGCGAGUAAUCUGGGGCGACGCCGAGCAGGAGUUCAUGCGGAGUGCAGGGCGCCGAGGCGCGGUAGGGCCGACGAUUGAGCAGGUAGGUCGAGGUGUUGAGAGCCUCUGCCCAGAAGCGAGCGGGCAUGUGCGCAUGACAGAGAAGCACACGAACGCCGUCGUUGAUCGUGCGGAGAACUCGCUCGUCCUUGCCGUUCUGCUGACUGGUGUAUGGGCAGGUGAGACGGAAGUGUGUGCCGUGGCGAGCAAGCAGAGAGCGCACGGCUGCGCUGUCGAAUUCACGACCAUUGCCCAUUUGCAGUGCAAGUAUGGGUAACUGAAACUGAGUCUGAACAUAGGCAAAGAAAUCAACAAGUAUGGGAAGAACUUCAGACAUGUGUUUCAGAGGGAAAGUCCAGACAUAGUGACUGAAAUCAUCUAGUAUAACUAAGUAAAACUGAUAGCCGGAUAUGCUUACAACGGGAGCGGUCCAUACAUCAAGGUGUAAAAGCUGGAAAGAACUAGCAGUGGUGGAUGUCUGAAACGGGAGCCAGGUGUGUUUGCCAACACGACAGGCAUGACAGACAGGCGGAUCACGGCAGAACUCCAGGGACUGAUCAACAGCAACAGUGCGGAGUGCGGCAGCCCCUGGGUGGCCAUGCGUUGGUGCCGGGUGCAGGCGUGGGGUACGCCGGGGGAGGGCGGGGAGCCUGGGAGGACGGCGUGGGCGGGCCACCAAUGCCGUUGCCACGUCUGCGGCGGCGUCCGCGCCCACGCCCUUGGUUGGUGUUGCUGGGCGGGGGUGUGGGUGGUGUAGGAGAGCCGCCACGCCCGGCGACGAGAGCGUGCGCAGACUGCUGGCGAGUGGUCGACUGCUCUGCUCGGUGUUCCUCAAGCAGGACGAAGGAGCGCACCUGCAGGAACGACGGGAGCGGGACCUGCGAGGUGAUGUGAGGGAUGGCGGAGUGGAACUGCUGGUUCAGACCGCGGAGCAGGUUGAAGACCUGCCGCGAGUCGGUUACCGGCUGCCCGAGGUCGCGGAGUCGAUCCGUGAACGACUUCAUCUUGGUGCAGUACGCCAUGAUCGACAUGUCGCCCUGAACGACAUAGUGGUACUCGGCGUCGAGGUAGACAGCGCGAGCGAGGUGGUUGUCGCGGAAGAUUCCAUCGACCGCAGUCCAGAUGGCCAGAGCAGUGUCGUCCGGCUGCAUGACGACGUCGAGCAGGUCCGGCGAUAUGGUAGUGUAGAACCAGUGGACGACGACGUGAUCAGCCAUGCCCCACUCGGGAUCAUCGUGGCGGUGGAUGGCCAUGGCGUCGACGUGAGUGCGGAGGCCGAACAUGCCGAUGACGGUGUCGAAGUGGCGGCGCCACUGCGUGUAGUUGCCGGCGAGAAGGUCGAGGGUGACCGGGACAUGACGACGGAUGUCCACGGUCUGCAGGAUCGCGGAGGCGACAGGUGCUGUAGGAGGAGGAGGAGGGAUGACGGGCACCGCGGGCGCGACAGGUGCUGGAGCCGGCGGUGCGUUGGCCAGGGGGACAGCGUUGAGGACGCCGUCGGCGCCGUGCUGCGAGGAGCGAGGGGACACGACGGGGUUGUCAUCCAUGGCGGUGGAAGCGGGACUGGCGACCUGCGCGAAGGGAUUGAGCAGGUCGGGGGAGUCUGAUACCAUAUAGGAAAGAAGGAUUAGGAGGAAUAAUUCACCACACUUUGAUUGAGCUCUCGGUUGGGUCUUAUGUACAGAUUACAGGGCCAGGGAGAUCAUGGGGUGAUCCACUACCUGGGAUCGUGCGCCACGAUCACUAUAUGCGUGCGCCACGAUUAUAUACACACAUGCUACAACUAGUGUCUACGCAACUACGGUAUAGCAGUACAAUAAAGUCUAACAGGGCGGCCACCGGCGGGGAGGGCGGGAUCCGUGCGGGGUGGCGGGAUUUGGGCAGGCGGUGGGCUCGGGGGAGGGCGAUGGCAGCGAAGCAGCAAGGAGGGGCUGGAGGAGAUGAAACGAAAGAGGUCGCGUGACACAGCGACAGCGUAGUCCAAUCCCCUCGCUGCUGAUUUAAAAAAAAGGUAAUGAUAACUCCCGAACGUUCGGGAGUUAAGCAUGGCAACCCGAACGGGUUUAGAUGGCAAGUUUAGUUUGCGUGAGAUUAGGGAAACAUGGCAAUUUUCUGACAAAAGAAAUGAAAAAGGACGAAGUUGCCAUCCCCUAUCAACUAAAGUUGCCAUCCCCUAUAAAUUAAAGUUGCCAUGUAAAAACGUUCGGGACGAAAUGCUCAAAAUCCGAACGUUCGGAAGUUACUGGAUUCAAAAAAAUCCCCUUGCUGCCAAUCGCUGGCCCGUUUCUUUUUUCGCCCAAUCGCUAGGUGAUGACGUGGCUAUCGCGGGAAGGCGCCCUUGAUGCGUAGUCGAAUGGUUUUAAUUAAUAGGAAACGAGUGCUUACUCUAGUUACUGAAUCAUGUACACCAAAUAAAGCCAUUUACACGUAGUUAAUGACAAAAAAAGUUGAUGUUUGCUACGCAAAUGUGUAGUACAAAUUAAGAAGUGCAAGAUUAAAAAAAAAUGCUGGUCCUUGAUUCGUUGUUGAUCGUCAGCAUGCCAUCAUCAAUUUGUAGUUAAUUAUCAUACAAAUUGGCUCUUUCAUAGAGUUGGAGGCUAGCUCCUUUGAUCAGCACGCGCUUAAACACAAACAGCACGUAUAUGUUUUGUCUCCGGAGUUCAAUUCUUCAUCGGCCAGCAAAAAUGGCCCGACCGGGUAGAGGAAAAGGCAUGUUUGUUAGUACGCCUGGAGGAAAUGCCUUUGAUUACGGCAUCUUCAACAGCGACCAGUAAAUUUCCUUCCGCGUUCGUUCACGGAUAGGGGAUCAGUCUGCGGAUACGAAUACAGGAAUCAUCCAUCCAACGCUGUCCGCGUAUAUUUCAAACACAUUUUUUUUUUAAAAUAGGAUGAAAUUCAUGCAAACACAAUGGAUUUCAUACAAACCGGACAAAAAUGUUUACAUUUUGGACAUAUUUUUUUACUAAAAACUCUACAGCCGGCGCCGGCGAAUAUCCACCCCGGCGACAUGGAUACCCUUGACUAGUCUACUGCCGGCCGCAGCGGAUCUCCAAUGUCGUCCCCAUAUCCGGCAGCUAUGAGCCCUAGAGGUAUAUGCUUCAGCGCAAAGAGCGGCUCGCCUCCCUACCGCUCAUCGGAGUGGAACAACCAGCUGAUGCUUCUGCCGAUGGAAAGGGUCCCUACGCUACACGGAUUAGAGUUGGUUUUCGGCUGGGAACGGCGGUGGCCUGCCAGAGGGCAAGACACCGACUGUGUAUGCUGGUGUCACCUGGUGUGGCAUUCGUGGGACCCAAGCGGCAGCGCCUCCUCGAUGAUGGCGGCGAGCGCGGACGUGUUUGACACCACCUCGUCGAUGUCCGUGCAGCCGGCUUCUUUCUCUGUAGGAAGGACGCGGUUACGCUUGCGUUGACAUCGGAUGACUCGGUCACAUGCACGGGAGGGGCGGUACGACAUGGCACCGCCAAUGGCAGCCAUGAUGCCCACGCCACCGUGCUCCCUCCCAGUGCCGAUCUAGAGCAACUUGCCACUCCUCUGCUCGUGACCGGUGGGCUUGACGGGCCACCUAGCCAUUUUUUAUGCCAGACAACUCUUCUUCCUGCUCGUCAGAUGUCAUGGAUAAAACUGUUUAAGGAGGAAAAUGAUGAGUGGACGUGUGAUGCGGUUCUUGCCCAACAUCUGACAUUGUUUAAAUAGCGAGGGGAGACGAGAGGAGCCAACCGGCGUACUGUUUAAUGCCAACCGGCUCGCGAACGAACAUGUGGCCGGAGUAAUUAUCCUAGCACACACGCGGGUUUAAUGGUGGAAGGCGGGCAGUCUGCAGGAAUGAGGCGAGGAUGUGUGCUUAGCCGGCGUGCAGCAGGCGGCGCCCUCGGCCGGCGUGCUGCUUCCAUUGCGGAGGCAGUGAGAGGUCGCGUCCGCUCUGCAGCGCAUGAAUGCGGGCAGCUGGCGCAGAGCGGGAACGCGUGCGGGCGAGGGAGGAGGGGGUUUGGGCGGGUGGUCAGAAGAGGUCGUGGGUGUUGUCCGAACGCCUGCAAAGCCCCCCUCCAUGUUUGUCUCCAGUUUGCGGGAGAAAGUACGUCCGGACCGUCUCCAAUGGACCAAUACAGGCCCGCAUUGGAUAGCACAACACGUCCGGACCAUGUGGUCCGGAUGGUUGUGGACAGUUUAAUUGAGGGUCGGCGUUGGAGAUGCCUUAGAGUUUAUGAAUCCAUUGUGUUUUUCUAAUCAUAAAAAAUCACUUACAAUAAGUUAUAAGGAAAGACACGUUUAUAUGUUAGGUUCAGACUCCAGCUUUCGUUUUACAUAUGCUUUAUUCAUCCGACUGAUUCCAAUAGAGUGAGCCUAGCGUUGUUUUUCUGGAAACUCGCGGGAUAAGGAGACAUGCAUACACAUUCUUUCAAGCAAAUCACAUCCAUUUUUUUUAACUCAUUUUUCUUCUUUUAAUAAUAUAAUAGAUCAUUUAUAUUUUUUAUCUGAAACAGUUGACGUGUAAUUUAUAUUGUAAUCUGAGGAUAAUGUUUGGAUUUUACUUUCAAAUAUAUUUGAAAUGGCCAUGAUGGAAUCACAUCCAUUUAUUUUAUUAUUAUUUGAAUUUGAUCCAAAAGAUAAAUAAUGAGUAGAGGUCAUGUCAACUUUUCUGAGAACUUUGCUAAUCAAAAUAUAAAUUGUAUUUAAAAACAUCUAUUUUUUAGCACGCAUGAAAAACAUAACACGUAUCUUUUCACACAUAAUGAACGGUUGUCAUAAGAACUCAUGCCAUGCCACAACCUCCCUCCGACCCUGCCAACAUUGUUGCAGCUGCACUCGCAAGCCUUAGCGUAGAUGAUAAUUUAUACAAUUUGCGUAAAACAAAAUAAGAUCUACAAAUGAAUAGAAGCUAGAACGUACAUUGGCAUGCACACACAUUGCAAGCCAUACUAAGCUGAUAAGUGUUAAUAACUUGUACAACAUAUACAACACUUAAGACAAGUAAAAGCAAUUUGAUGAGUCAUGGUCUAUCAAAGCCACAUUACUAGUCUAAUCCAUCUUAACAGGUCACACAUGAUUAAAAUCUUGUUUGUGUGCAAGUCAAGCUUAUCUAGUUUACAUGUAACAACUUGUAGAACAUUACAAAAUUUAUGUUUGCUAAUAACUUCUAGAACACUACAACACUUGACAUGUAAAAGGAAUUUGAUGAGUCAUGGCCUACUAAAGCAAGUUAUAUUACUAGUCUUAUCUACCAUAACAGGCCACACAAGAUUACAAACCAAGUUCUGUGCCAGCCAUGCUUAUCUAGUUUAUGCGUAACAAUUUGCAGAAAAUUACAAACUUAGUUUCAGAAAAAUAGGCAAUCUAGAUUAGUGUUUGAGCUGUAAAGUGAAUAAAAUGAGUCAUGCGUGUUAUCACACCUUUUUGGUUGUGGAAUGAUAGUGCAACAACAAGGAACUUUAAUGACCAGUUCAAGAAUACACUUGUAAGUAGUGCCACCGAACACAACAUACCAAAUUAUGAUUUUGAGAAGCAUCCAAGCACAUCCACACAAGCAAAUGCCAAUUGUGAAAGAGAUCAUGCCAUGGCAGCUAUAAAUAGGCCCGUAGCAUGACGAUCAUCCUUCCUCAUCCAUCAUUCUCAUAAGUAGAGCGCAUCAUUUAAGCCAAGCAAGCAGUGCUCAAUACAAAUCCACCAUGAAGACCUUUCUCAUCCUUGCCCUCCUUGCUAUUGUAGCAACCACCGCCACAAUUGCAGUUAGAGUUCCAGUGCCACAAUUGCAGCCACAAAAUCCAUCUCAGCAACAACCACAAGAGCAAGUUCCAUUGGUACAACAACAGCAAUUUCCAGGGCAGCAACAACCAUUUCCACCACAACAGCCAUAUCCGCAGCCGCAACCAUUUCCAUCACAACAACCAUAUCUGCAGCUGCAACCAUUUCCGCAGCCGCAACUACCAUAUCCGCAGCCGCAACCAUUUCGACCACAACAACCAUAUCCACAACCGCAACCACAGUAUUCGCAACCACAACAACCAAUUUCACAGCAGCAGCAGCAGCAGCAACAACAACAACAACAACAACAACAGAUCCUUCAACAAAUUUUGCAACAAUAACUGAUUCCAUGCAGGGAUGUUGUAUUGCAACAACACAGCAUAGCGCAUGGAAGCUCACAAGUUUUGCAACAAAGUACUUACCAGCUGGUGCAACAAUUGUGUUGUCAACAGCUGUGGCAGAUCCCCGAGCAGUCGCGGUGCCAAGCCAUCCACAAUGUUGUUCAUGCUAUUAUUCUGCAUCAACAACAACAACAACAACAACAACCGUUGAGCCAGGUCUGCUUCCAACAGCCUCAACAACAAUAUCCAUCAGGCCAGGGCUCCUUCCAGCCAUCUUAGCAAAACCCACAGGCCCAGGGCUCUGUCCAGCCUCAACAACUGCCCCAGUUUGAGGAAAUAAGGAACCUAGCGCUAGAGACGCUACCUGCAAUGUGCAAUGUCUAUAUCCCUCCAUAUUGCACCAUUGCUCCAGUUGGCAUCUUCGGUACUAACUGAGAAUAGAAUAACUCUAGUAGUAGAUAUAUGAUACACCGUUUUCUUAGUCCAUGGUUUGGUCGUUGUAGCGGUGAAAAAAUAAAGUGACAUGCACUAUCAUGUAAGAACCCGAACUAUACUAUUUCAAACAUGGGAAUAAAAGACAAACACAUGUCUUGUCUACAUAUGAUUGUUUGUUUGAGUUCCACUCAUGUGCCCACUCACAAGUUCACCCCUAAUUAUAUAUAUUAUGCAUUAAGUAGAUAUUUAUGUUGCAUUAAUCUAAAGAUAACAAAAUGAGUCUGAAAUUUGAAUUAAAUUGAAGUAUUUCCUUGGACUUUCAAAUGGAGUAUUAUUAAAGUAGUAAGGACUAUCCACAUCCUUGGCUUGCCCUUGAUCAAUUAUUUCCAGAGAAGCAUUCAAUUCAUCAAUCAAUUACAUUGAUUUUUGUGGCUGGUACUUCUCCUCAACAUGAGUAUAUUCAUCGCGGCUACUCCAAAUAGCCAUGAAUGAGGUACCGGUGCUCUGGAGCACUGGUACCUAACUGCUUCUCAUGUGAAGGGGUGCGGGCGCGGGAGAGGUGUUUUUGGUGGGCCAGGGGAGUAAGAAGCGGCCGUGGCAGCGGUCCAGACGCCCACAAAGCCCCGUAGUUUGUUUUUGGUUUACAGGAAAAUGCACAUCCAGACUGGCCUGCGGGCCGAUAUAGGACCGUAUUGGAUGGCAAAACAUGUCCGGAUGGUCGCGAGCGGUUUAAGGGUUAGCUUUUGUAACACCCGGUUAGUUAUGCUAUGGUAAUUCCCUGCUAAUGAUGUCACGUCAGCACGAUUACUGUUGUUAACCUCACAAUGAUUCAAUCCCAUUCAAAUUCAAAUUUAAAAUAAAGGCAAACAUCAAAAGUUUCAAACAUUAAAACUAAAAUCUUCGAGAGGUGAAAAAUAAUGCAUAAGUAAUUAUGGUGGAGAAACCACACUUUUAUAAAAUGUUUAAAUACUCUAAAAAUAAUAAAACAGUGGCUUAAACUAUUAUUUAAAUGCUUUUAAAAUAGUAAAAAUGUUCUAACUAAAUUAAUUGGGUACCAAACUUUUGGUGGCAGUGGUAUAUUUAGUAGAACUAAUUUAGAUGCUAAUAAAACAUAAAAGGAAAGACAAAACAAAUAAAAGUAAAAGGGGGCAACCCUUGGCUGGGCCUCGGCCAAGCUGGGCACUUGGCUAGCUAGGUUGGCCCAACCGCCUCCCUUAACCCCCCACUCCCCAUCGAACCCUAGACCGAUCGCCCCACUUCCCCCCCACCCCCUCGUCAGCCUCCCCACCUCUCGAUCCCAUCUGGAUCGGGGAGGGGAUCGCCUUCAUCGACCCCGUCGCGGUCGCUGGAUCGCCCGCUCGCCCAUCGCCCGCCGGCGUCGCCGGACCUCCUCCCCGUCGCAUGUCUCCGGCUCUCCUCCCCUCUCGCUCCUCUUCCCCGACCCGAUCUAGAUCGGGAAGGGCCAAUGAGCCCAACGCCCCCCUCCAUCGACGCUGUGCUCCAGCACCGCCGCCCGAAGACCUCGCCAUCGCCGGACCUCGCGUCGCCUCCUCGUAUCCCUCCCCGACUCGCCUCCUCAAGCCACGCCGACCCCCUCUCGGCAACGCCGUGAGCCGCACCCGUUUCCCUCCUUCUCUUUCCACCGUGUUCACCGCGCCGCCUGCCGUGCCCCUCGCCGCGCGCACGCCCACCACCGCGCCAGCCCCCGCUCCCGCCCUCUCCUGCACGCUUGUGCGCGCAUGACCCUAGCCGCGCCCACGCCGUGAUCCCCUUGUCCCGCCCGCCUUCGUCCCGCGCUCGCCGCGGCCCCCAUGCUCCCCUGCGCCCUCUUUUGGGGCCGUCGGCUGCCCCUGUCCCGCAGCUCGCUGGCAUGCGUCCCCGCCUGCGCCUCGCCACCGCUCUACUGCUACGCUACUAUUGCGCUGUGGCCGCCGCCGCUUCCCGCUGCUCUGCCAGCGCCAAAGCUCCUGGUUGGCCCUGCCGCUGCUCGCGUUUAACCGCCGGCCUAAGCGGCCUAACCUCCCCCCUCGCUAAUGAACCCCCACCGACCCGCUGACACCGGGACCCACAUCCCCUAAUUAACCAUUUAAUAAAUUAAAACUCUUAAAUUAACAUUAGUGUAUGACAUGUGGGUCCCCUAUUAAUUAAACUGAUUUAAUUAAAAUCUAUUAACUUUGAGUCUAUGACAUAUGGGCCCCACUAAACAUUUGACCAAUCAACGGUCCAGUCAAAUGCUGACCGGACAGUUGACCAGAGGGCCCCGCCAGUCAGCCAAUGUGCUGUUCUGCUGGGUACCUUUCUAAGUACACCUAGCAUUUUGCAUUUACAAUAUUUGUUUUAAAAUAAAUUAGAAUAAUUUCAAAAAAAUAUUAAAACUUUUAAAAUUAAAAUAAAAUAAUCCGUAACUCGGAUGAAAUUACUUUAUACAUGGAAGUUGCUCAAAAAAUGAGACGAAUCCGAAUACACAGUCCGUUCGUCUGCCACGCGUCCCUAGCAUAGCGAACAUGCAACCAUCCCCCUCCGGUUCGACUGUCCGAAAAAUUAUUAUUGCACAUGCCCGCUAAGAGGUUGGCUGUAUAUGACAUGACAACUUCUUAUAGCCGAGCCUUGGCUGUAUUAUUAACCAUGCUCUUAGUGAGGUAGCUAGUAUAUCAUAGACGACUAGCUAGUAUCAGACUAGCCAAAGUGGGAGUAACUUCAGCAGUAACAUCGACUCCAACUCAGCAAACUUCCUUAUGUGGGAGUAAACCGUGCCCAAUGCAAAAUACAAUCCCAGUCGUAAUUUUUUCAGGAAACGUGUGGGAUCCCAAACGAAAAGCACACGUCACUCUUGCGGCAACCGUCGGUGACACCCAAUAAAUCACAAACGGUCUGCAGCAGCUGUAUGUGUGCAAAGGGGCUCCUGAACCGUUUGUGAUAGAACAUUAUCGCAGACGGUAAUUGUUGGCAAACGUGUGCGAUGGAGUCUAGCAUGGCAGACGGGUUACGCAGAAAACUCGUGUGUGAUGGGGCACAAAUCGCACACAGUUCAUAUGUUGGUCCAUGUGCCUUACAUACUAUUUCCCAAAUGGUUUGUUACGACAGACCGUAUCGUUUCAGUGCGUCAUUAGAAACGCUUAAUCACUGAUACCACACGUGCGAAAGAAAUUAGUGCGUGAUGCAUCGCACACGAUUACAUUUUGGAAGGCCUCUGGAUCACUGCUCCAUAUCCCCGACGGUUUCUGGGCCGUGUGGGAAGGACACCCUAUCGCACACACUCACUUGGCGAUGGUUCCAAAUGCUGUCGCAGAAAAGGGUUAAAAACAGUUUGUUUAGGACCGACGCGUACCAGUGUCUAUCUAUCUAUCUAUCUAUCUAUCUAUGUAUCUAUCUAUCUAUCCAUCUAUCUAUCUAUCUAUCUAUCUAUCUAUCUAUCUAUCUAUCUAUCUAUCUCAAUCCACCUAUCUAUCUAUCCAUCUAUCUAUCUCUCCAUCUAUCCAUCUAUCUAUCCAUCUAUCCAUCCAUCUACUAUCCAUCUAUCUAUCCAUCCAUCCAUCUAUCUAUCCAUCCAUCCAUCUAUCUAUCUAUNNNNNNNNNNNNNNNNNNNNNNNNNNNNNNNNNNNNNNNNNNNNNNNNNNNNNNNNNNNNNNNNNNNNNNNNNNNNNNNNNNNNNNNNNNNNNNNNNNNNNNNNNNNNNNNNNNNNNNNNNNNNNNNNNNNNNNNNNNNNNNNNNNNNNNNNNNNNNNNNNNNNNNNNNNNNNNNNNNNNNNNNNNNNNNNNNNNNNNNNNNNNNNNNNNNNNNNNNNNNNNNNNNNNNNNNNNNNNNNNNNNNNNNNNNNNNNNUCUAUGUAUCCAUUUAUCCAUUGAUCCAUCUAUCGAUCCAUCCAUCCAUCCAUCUAUCCAUCAAUCUAUCUAUCCAUGUAUCCAUGUAUCCAUCUAUCCAUCUAUCGAUCUAUCCAUCCAUCUAUCUAUCUAUCUAUCCAUCUAUCCAUCUAUCGAUCUAUCCAUCUAUCUAUCUAUCCAUCCAUCUAUCGAUCUAUCGGUCUAUCCAUCUAUCGAUCUAUCCAUCUCUCCAUCUACCCAACUAUCCAUCUAUCCAUCUAUUCAUCUACCGAUCUAUCUAUCCAUCUAUCUAUCUAGCUAUCUAGCUAUCUAGCUAUCUAUCUAUCUAUCUAUCUAGCUAUCUAGCUAUCUAUCUAUCUAGUUAUCUAGCUAUCUAUCUAUCUACCUACCUACCUACCUACCUACCUACCUAUCUAUCUAUCUAUCUAUCUAUCUAUCUAUCUAUCUAUCUAUCUAUCUAUCUAUCUAUCUAUCUAUCUAUCUAUCUAAAGGAAAUAUGCCCUAGAUGCAAUAAUAAAGUUGUCAUUUAUAGUUCGUUAUAUCAUGAUAAACUAGCGGAGUCACCCGCGCAUUUGCGCGGCUAGAUUGACUACAUAUAUUGUUAUAUUUGGGAUUAUUUUUCUAUGCCAAUUUUAUGGCCUCUUACUCAGAUAUUAUCUAAUUGAAUUUACCACCACCAUAUGUUAUAUCCAUAGAUUAUAAUGAAAAGGCAACUUCCGACGAAACAUGGACAGAUUAUUGAGUGCUCAGAAGACGGACGCAAUAUCAUAUAUAGACUUCUAUACCAAUCUUCAUGGUUCCCAUCUUUGAUCCUCUCCUCGUCCCUUGGUAUCUAUCUUUGCACCCAAUAUGUCUUUGGAGUUCCAAGAAUUGAAUCUUAGCAUGAAUGGCUUCAAUGUGUACCAAAUGUUCUCUUGUUCCUCCCAAAUUAAUUACUGGUUGCAUUCUUAGUUGCUUUGACAUUCUUGGUUAAUGCAAUUUCUUGCCUACCAAUAUAUGCAUCCACACACGAUCAUAUUUAUAUGACCACUUACCUCUGUAUUCUGGUAUUUGUGCUUCAGAAUUUUUCUCUCAUUCAGUUUAUUCAUAGAUUAAAAACGUCGAUCGUUUCUUUAUUGGUUUGCAUUAUCUUGUUUGCCGAACGUAAGCAUCCACACAUGCUCGUCAUGAUAUGAUUGGUCAUCAUUGUAUAUUUGUAUUUGUGUGUUGAUAGCUUAAGGAUUUUCUCGGAUUCACUUCAUAGUUUAAGGAUUUUCUCGCGUUCAAUUUAUUCUACCUUAUUCAUUUUCAUGUUUCUUUAUUGCAUUUAUAUCAAUUCUUACAAUAUAUUUUCCAAGAUAUGAACUCAACUACUAAUUACGUAGUUUUUCAUCAAAAAUUACAUGUAAAAAUGUUACAAAUGCAUAAACAUGAUAAAAAUAUAUAUCAUAUUCCAUUGAGAGAUCGCCCAUUUAAAAAAAACACGUUGACUUACAAAAAGGACAAUUCAAGCUGCAUGUACGUCCGACUCAUGUUUACCUGACAAUGUCGAUGUUGAUUUCAGCAGUAAAUGAGCUGUGUGUGACCUUUGCGCUUUCCGGUAUUCUUCUAACCUGUGUGCUUUAUGAUCAGUUUGUUGUGCUUAGUACUGGACACUUGAGUAUACUAUCAUAUUUGGUACAAAUAAAUCUGAACUACUAUAGUUAUGAUCCACUGUAUAGUUAAUGGUGGUGGUAAUUAAUAUAUGUGGUUAAAUACUUGCGCUCCUUAGGUGGGGAGUUGGAUUUGUAUUUCCCUAAAAUAAAUUUCAGAUUUCGUAAUAGUGGUGAAGCCAGCCGGAAGAACCUCUGCGUCAUUAUUAAUUUUGGUGAUAUUUUUCUUCAUAGUGUAGAAUAAUUUUAGUGCUUAUUCCGCAAAAAAUAUGGCCUCAACUGACCCCAUAGCUUGUAUGUUGCGCCACCACUGUUUCCUAUAUCCUAUUACAUCCGUUGUUUUUAGAUCUUGAUGCAUAACUUUGACAAUAUUUAAUAGAUAUGUGUCUGUAUAAAAAAUUAUAAAUGCUAUGAUAAUUUGAUUAAUUAUGAUGAAUAAAAUGUUAUUGCUCUGACUUGAUCCCUCUAGAAUUUUCCAAAAUUUCACAUUACAGUUGUAGUAGUGCAUGCUACCUCUUGAGCACUGCGUUAGUUUUCCCUUGAAGAGGAAAGGGUGAUGCAGUAAAGUAGCGUCAGUAUUUCCCUCGGUUUUUGAGAACCAAGGUAUCAAUCCAGUAGGAGGCCACGCAUGAGUCCCUCGCACCUACACAAACAAAUAAAAUCCUCGCAACCAACGCAAUAAAGGGGUUGUCAAUCCCUUCACGGUCACUUACGAAAGUGAGAUCUGAUAGAUUUGAUAAGAUAAUAUUUUUGGUAUUUUUAUGAUAAAGAUGCAACGUAAAGAAAGCAAAAUAAAAAAAGCGCCAGAAAUAGCUUGUUGACGGGAGAUUAAAAUAGACCGGGGGGCCAUAGGUUUCACUAGUGGCUUCUCUCGAGAGCAUAAGUAUUUUGGUGGGUAGACAAAUUACUGUUGAGCAAUUGACAGAAUUGAGCAUAGUUAUGGGAAUAUCAAGGUAUGAUCAUGUAUAUAGGCAUCACGUCCGAGGCAAGUAGCCCGACUCCUGCCUGCAUCUACUACUAUUACUCCACACAUCGACUGCUAUCCAGCAUGCAUCUAGAGUAUUAAUUUCAAAAGAACAGAGUAACGCUUUAAGUAAGAUGACAUGAUGUAGAGGGAUAAACUCAUGCAGUAUGAUAUAAACCCCAUCUUGUUAUCCUCGAUGGCAACAAUACAAUACGUGCCUUGCUGCCCCUACUGUCACUGGGAAAGGACACCGCAAGAUUGAACCCAAGCUAAGCACUUCUCCCAUCGCAAGAAAGAUCAAUCUAGUAGGCCAAACCAAACUGAUAAUUCGAAGAGACUUGCAAAGAUAACCAAUCAUACAUAAAAGAAUUCAGACAAGAUUCAAAUAUUGUUCAUAGAUAAACUUGAUCAUAAACCCACAAUUCAUCGGUCUCAACAAACACACCGCAAAAGAAGAUUACAUCGAAUAGAUCUCCACAAGAGAGGCGGAGAACAUUGUAUUGAGAUCCAAAAAGAGAGAGGAAGCCAUCUAGCUAAUAACUAUGGACCCGAAGGUCUGAGGUAAACUACUCACACAUCAUCGGAGAGGCUAUGGUGUUGAUGUAGAAGCCCUCCAUGAUCGAUGCCCCCUCCGGCGGAGCUCCGGAAAAGGCCCCAAGAUGGGAUCUCACGGGUACAGAAGGUUGCGGCGAUGGAAUUAGGUUUUUGGCUCCGUAUCUGGUAGUUUGGGGGUACGUAGGUAUAUAUAGGAGGAAGAAGUACGUCGGUGGAGCAACGUGGGCCCCACGAGGGCGCGCCCCCCUACCUCGUGCCUUCCUGGUAGAUUUCUUGACGUAGGGAACAAGUCCUCUAGAUAACGUUCGUUCCCAAAAUCACGUUUCCGAAGGUUUCAUUCCGUUUGGACUCGGUUUGAUAUUCUUUUUCUGUGAAACUCUGAACUAGGCAAAAAACAGCAAUUCUGGGGUGGGCCUCCGAUUAAUAGGUUAGUCCCAAAAAUAAUAUAAAAGUGUAUAAUAAAGCCCAUUAAUGUCUAAAACAGAAUAUAAUAUAGCAUGGAACAAUAAAAAAUUAUAUAUACGUUGGAGACGUAUCAAGCAUCCCCAAGCUUAAUUCUUGCUCGUCCUCGAGUAGGUAAAUGAUAAAAACAGAAUUUUUAAUGUGGAAUGCUACUUGGCAUAAUUUCAAUGUAAUUCUCUUAAUUGUGGUAUGAAUAUUCAGACCCGAAAGAUUCAAGACAAAAGUUUAAUAUUGACAUAAAAAUAAUAAUACUUCAAGCAUACUAACUAAGCAAUUAUGUCUUCUCAAAAUAACAUGGCCAAAGAAAGUUAUCCCUACAAAAUCAUAUAGUCUAGCUAUGCUCUAUCUUCACCACACAAAGUAUUUAAAUUAUGCACAACCCGGAUGACAAGCCAAGCAAUUGUUUCAUACUUUUGAUGUUCUCAAACUUUUUCAAUCUUCACGCAAUACAUGAGCAUGAGCCAUGGACAUAGCACUAUAUGUGGAAUAGAAUGGUGGUUGUGGAGAAGACAAAAAAGGAGAAGAUAGUCUCACAUCAACUAGGCGUAUCAACGGGCUAUGGAGAUGCCCAUUAAUAGAUAUCAAUGUGAGUGAGUAGGAAUUGCCAUGCAACGGAUGCACUAGAGCUAUAAGUAUAUGAAAGCUCAACAAAAGGAACUAAGUGGGUGUGCAUCCAACUCGCUUGCUCAUGAAGACCUAGGGCAUUUUGAGGAAGCCCAUCAUUGGAAUAUACAAGCCAAGUUCUAUAAUGAAAAUUUGCCACUAGUACAUGAAAGUGAUAUCAUAGGAGACUCUCUAUCAUGAAGAUCAUGGUGCUACUUUGAAGAACAAGUGUGGUAAAAGGAUAGUAACAUUGUCCCUUCUCUCUUUUUCUCUCAUUUUUUUAUUUGGGUCUUUUAUCCUUUUUUAUGGCCUCUUUUUUUUAGUCCGAAGUCUCAUCCCGACUUGUUGGGGAAUCAUAGUCUCCAUCAUCCUUUCCUCACUUGGGACAAUGCUCUAAAAAAUGAUGAUCAUCACACUUUUAUUUACUUACAACUCAACAAUUACAACUCAAUACUUAGAACAAAAUAUGACUCCAUGUGAAUGCCUCCGGCGGUAUACCGUGAUAUGCAAUGAAUCAAGAGUGACAUGUAUGAAAGAAUUAUGAACGGUGGCUUUGCCACGAAUACAAUGUCAACUACAUGAUCAUGGAAAGCAAUAUGACAAUGAUGGAGUGUGUCAUAAUAAACUGAACGGUGGUAAGUUGCAUGGCAAUAUAUCUCGGAAUGGCUAUGGAAAUCCUAUGGUAGGUAGGUAUGGUGGCUGUUUUGAGGAAGGUAUAUGGUGGGUGUAUGAUACCGGCGAAAAGUGCGCGGUAUUAGAGAGGCUAGCAAUGGUGGAAGGAAGAAAGUGCGUAUAAUCCAUGGACUCAACAUUAGCCAUAAAGAACUCAUAUACUUAUUGCAAAAAUCUACAAGUUAUCGAAGCAAAGUAUUACCCGCAUCAUCCUAGGGGGAUAGAUUGGUAUGAAAAGACCAUCGCUCAUCCCAGACCGCCACUCAUAAGGAAGACAAUCAAUAAAUAAAUCAUGCUCCGACUUCAUCACAUAACGGUUCACCAUACGCGCAUGCUAAGGGAAUCACAAACUUUAACACAAAUAUUUCGCAAAUUCAAAACUACUCAACUAGCAUGACUCUAAUAUCACCAUCUCCAUAUCUCAAAACAAUUAUCAAGUAUCAAACUUCUCAUAGUAUUCAACACACUCAUAAGAUUUUUUUACUAAUCUUGAGUGCCUAUCAUAAUUAAAGCAAAUUACCACGCUGUUUUGUAGGACUAUCAAAAUAAUCUAAGUGAAUCAUGAGAGAACAAUAGUUUCUAUAAAACAAAACCACCACCGUGCUCUAAAAGACAUACGUGAAGCACUAGAGCAAAAACUAUAUAGCUCAAAAGAUAUAAGUGAAGCACAUAGAGUAUUCUAACAAUUUCCGAAUCAUGUGUGUCUCUCUCAAAAGGUGUGUACUGCAAGGAUUAUUGUGGCAAACUAACAAAUAAAUACUUCAAAUAAUACAAGACGCUCCAAGAAAAACACAUAUCAUGUGGUGAAUAAAAAUAUAGCUCCAAGUAAAGUUACCGAUGGAAGUAGACGAAAGAGGGGAUGCCUUCCGGGGCAUCCCCAAGCUUUGGCUUUUAGGUGUCCUUAGAUUAACUUGGGGUGCCAUGGGCAUCCCCAAGCUUAGGCUCUUGCCACUCCUUGUUUCAUAAUCCAUCAAAUCUUUCACCCAAAACUUGAAAACUUCACAACACAAAACUCAGCAGAAAAUCUCGUGAGCUCCGUUAGCAAAAGAAAACAAAACACCACUUCAAGGUACUGUAAUGAACUCAUUCUUUAUUUAUAUUGGUGUUAAACCUACUGUAUUCCAACUUCUCUAUGGUUUAUAAACUAUUUUACUAGCCAUAGAUUCAUCAAAAUAAGCAAACAACACACGAAAAACAUAAUCUGUCAAAAACAGAACAGUCUGUAGUAAUCUGUAACUAACGCAAUUUUCUGGGACACCAAAAAUUGACCCAAAAUAGGAAGACCUAGACAAUUUUUUUAUUGAUCAGCAGCAAUUGGGAUCAAUAUUUUAUCACGUCCUGGUGAUUUUUAACAAUUAUUUUCGUGAACAGAAAGUUUCUAGAAUUUUCAGCAAGAUCAAAUAACUAUCAUCCAAGAAGAUCCUAUAGGUUAAACUUGGCACAAACACUAAUUAAAACAUAAAAACACAUGUAACCAGAGGCUAGAUCAAAUAUUUAUUCCUAAACAAAAGAAAAAAUCAUAAAAAACUAAAAAUAAAAUUGGGUUGCCUCCCAACAAGCGCUAUCGUUUAAUGCCCCUAGCUAGGCAUAAUAGCAAUGAUAGAUCUAGGUAUUGCCAUCUUUGGUAGGCAAUCCAUAAGUGGCUCUCAUAAUAGAUUCAUAAGGUAAUUUUAUUUUCUUUCUAGGGAAGUGUUCCAUGCCUUUCCUUAAUGGAAAUUGGAAUCUAAUAUUCCCUUCCUUCGUAUCAAUAAUUGCACCAAUCGUUCUAAGGAACGGUCUACCAAGAAUAAUAGGACAUGAAGGAUUGCAAUCUAUAUCAAGAACAAUAAAAUCUACUGGCACAUAAUUCCUAUUUGCAACAAUAAGAACAUCAUCAAUUCUUCCCAUAGGUUUCUUAAUGGUGGAAUCCGCAAGGUGCAAGUUUAAAGAGCAAUCAUCAAAAUCACGGAAACCUAGCAAAUCGCAUAGAAUCUUUGGAAUCGUGGAAACACUAGCACCCAAAUCACACAAAGCAUAGCAUUCAUGAUCUUUAAUUUUAAUUUUAAUAGUAGGUUCCCACUCAUCAUAAAGUUUUCUAGGGAUAGAAACUUCCAACUCAAGUUUUUCUUCAUAAGAUUGCAUCAAAGCAUCAACGAUAUGUUUAGUAAGGCUUUAUUUUGACUAUAAGCAUGUGGAGAAUUUAGCACGGAUUGCAACAAGGAAAUACAAUCUAUCAAAGAGCAAUUAUCAUAAUUAAAUUCCUUGAAAUCCAAAAUAGUGGGUUCAUUAAUAUCUAGAGUUUUGAUUUCUUCAAUCCCACUUUUACCAUUUUUUGCAUCAAGAUCUAAAAACUCCGAAUUUUUGGAACGCCUUCUAGGUAGAGGUGGAUUAUAUUCAGUCCCAUCAUUAUCAAGAUUCAUAUUGCAAAACAAAGAUUUAAUAGGGGACACAUCAAUAACUUUUAGAUCUUCAUCUUUAUUUUCAUAGAAACUAGAAGAACACGCUUUCACAAAACAAUCUUUCUUAGCACGCAUCCUAGCGGUUCUUUCUUUGCACUCAUCAAUGGAAAUUCUCAUGGCCUUGAGAGACUCAUUGAUAUCAUGCUUAGGAGAAAUUCUAUCAGCGUUCCUAGCCAAUUCAUCAACUUUAAGCAAUUUUUCUUCAAGCAAAGCAUUGAAAUUGUUUUGCGAAUUCAUAAAUUCUUUAACACUAGUCUCAAAUUCAGAAGGCAUCUUAUUAAAAUUUCCAUAAUAAUUGUUGUAGGAAUUACCAUAAUUAUUAGAGGAAUUACUAGGAUACGGCCUUGGAUUAAAGUUUCCUCUAUACGCGUUGUUACCAAAAUUAUUCCGACCAACAAAAUUCACAUCCAUAGAUUCAUUAUUAUUCUCAAUCAAAGUAGACAAAGGCAUAUCAUUAGGAUCAGAAGAAACACUUUUAUUAGCAAAUAAUUUCAUAAGUUCAUCCAUCUUUCCACUCAAAACAUUAAUUUCUUCUAUCAUGCACUUUUUAUUAGUGGUUUUUUCGGUGUGCCAUUGAGAAUAAUUAACCAUAAUAUUAUCUAGGAGUUUAGUAGCUUCUCCUAAAGUGAUUUCCAUAAAAGUGCCUCCCGCGGCCGAAUCUAAAAGAUUUCUAGAAGAAAAAUUCAAUCCGGCAUAAAUUUUUUGUAUAAUCAUCCACAAAUUCAAACCAUGAAUAGGGCAAUUACGUAUCAUUAAUUUCAUCCUCUCGCAAGCUUGUGCAACAUGUUCAUGAUCAAGUUGCUUAAAAUUCAUAAUAUCGUUUCUAAGAGAGAUGAUCUUAGCGGGAGGAAAAUACUUAGAGAUAAAAGCAUCUUUGCACUUAUUUCAAGAAUCACUACUAUUUUUAGGCAAAGACAAAAACCAAGCUUUAGCACGAUCUCUAAGCGAAAAAGGAAAUAGCUUCAAUUUAACAAUAUCAUUGUCCACAUCUUUCUUCUUUUGCAUAUCACACAAAUCAACGAAGUUGCCAUGUCUAGGAAUGCUUGAAGCUUCAAAGAUUUCCUAUAAUACAACAUGCCUCUAACUAUUCACAAUAAGAAAAACAUGUAAAUGCGGAAUCAACCAAAUGUUGGUAAAUUGUAGUUGAUUUUGGCCAAGCAAACGUCAGAUGAAAGAAACAUACAUGAGUGAACAUCACGAUUGGAUGUUUUAUUCAAAUUUAACAGGUUAAACUCACCAAAUCCAUCUGGAUAUUUAGUAUUAAACUUCAACAGAUGGUGAGUUGUAGCUAGAUUCACAACACUGAAGCAAAAUUCCAUCUGCCACGGUUACAUCACACCAUCUUUUCAUCGUUACUAUUUAAAUUCCAAAUGCCUGCAACUCAUUUUUUUGUUACGAUGUAUGCAUGAUUUUUAACUCAAGAGGAAGAGGGGAAACUAAAUCCAAGAAAAGAACACCAAGGAAGCAUCCAAAAUAGAGAAAGGAAAAAUCCAAAAUAGAGGCAGAAUCGAAGGGAAGAAACCCCAUAAAAAAUAGGAGAUCAAACGGUGAAAAAAAUCUAAGAGUCAAACAAUUCCAGGUAAGACCAAAUCGACGACAAAAUAGCACAAGAGGGACUCACAUUAACAGGUAUACCAAUUCAGAAAGAAGUGUAAAGCGAACAGUGCAAUGGACCACUAGUAUAAAUUGGCUGUACACAAACAUGGGACUUAAACAGGAACUGCGAGAUGCAGGGUUCACGUGCAAACCCAAAAAACGGAAAACUGAAACGCACAACAAGAUUUUAUCUUCAUAUAUAUAUAUUAUGAGCUAUUGGCUUUUUAGUCAGGUAAAUAUCAUUCUUAAGACUACGGAAAACAGCAGGCGGCGAAGAAAACAUCUAUUGAUGAGAACUAUACACAUACUUAAGAAGGAAGUGACAUCUAUGGUAGCAGAACAUAUAUCAAGCUGUUGCAGCUACAUUAGCAGUUUAGCACAGUUCCUCCAUAAUACACAGGCUAGUGUAAUUUCACAAAUACAAUAAGCUAACAAUAUAUAUUUGGUAGAUGGAAAUGGCUGGAUCAUGACCAAUAUACCAUUACACAUCCGAUGAUGCAAAUAAACCACAAUAGAACAUGUAUUUGGCGAAACCUCCAUACUGCAAUAUCAAACAUGAAUUGAAAUUAACAAUCUAGCAAAAAAACAUGACAGAUGCAGUCUUGGUCAUUUUUCCUUUUGUGACAUCCCCUAAAAAAAGUAAAAACAAUGUUGUUCGUAUUUUACCAGAGAUACACUGAGCUGGGACAAAUUGGUCUGAAAUAAAAUAUGAUGGCUUCGGAGGAUUCGGAAGGGAAGAAAUUUGCUUUCUUCCAACAUAUAUGGUCUGCUGAACUAAACUUCGUUUCAGCGGGCUUUGCCAAAAAUCUGUAACUGCAAACAUCAACUUGUGUGCCCUUCCUACGUCAAACUUUAAACCUGAGCUCAGUGUACUUUAUGAGUGUUAAGUGUACUUUCUAAAUAGCAGAGAAACCAUAACAUCUAAGCACAACCCAGCAACUUGUACAAGCUAACAUCAAAUCUGAAAGAAGAAAUGUCGAGAACAGGUGAAGGUACCAUGAUCCACGACUGAGCAAAGUUAUCUAUUAUCCUCGGUGAAUAUCAUAAAUUAGGAUCAACUACGCUGAAGAACAAACGGGAAAGGAACCUAGAAAGAUCUUUUGCCGGUAGAAUAUAACUGAUACACUAUCCUCAUUCUCGAGAUCAAGGUCGUUUCUUGAAUUGCAGUUUCCUCACUGUAGUAUGGGGUCAUUACACUGCGAAGAACAAAGUGUCAUAUGAAUCAUUUAGAGCCCAAUCUUUUUCACUGAAACUCUUAUGAUCACAUAACGAAUUUAAACAUAAGGUUUAUUAGAUAUUUGUUGUUGUGAAUAGAUAAUAUAUUUCUGGUGUUGACAAUGUUUUGAUUAUGGAUGCACUUCAAGAUGGGUGGCACAGAUUCUGUUGUACAGGCCUCCACCUGGAAUUUCAUCACUUGUUAUUUUUGUUUUAGAAUGUCUAGGUGCAUUUUUCCUUUAAGGUGGAAACAGAUGUACUUGUAUAAGCAACAAGAAUACAAAGCGCCACUGCCAUACAUUGUGGAAGUUCAGUGCUUCUGUUUACAAAAUCUGCUUCCCAAAACAGAAGGUUUAUAAUUUUUUAUUACAAUCAAGCGGACAUGAGCUGAUGAGUACAGAUGUAGACAUGUACUGAGAGCAGCACCCUUUCAAAAGUGGAUCAUUUACAUGUUGGAUAGUUUGAUGGUCUGAAAUUAAUGGUCGUGUUUCAGAAUUGUUAUCGAAUAGUAGGGGAUAUAUAUUAACUUCUGAAAUUAGUGGCUGUUUGUCAGAACUGUUAUCGAAUAGUAGGGCACAUAUAUUAACUUCAAUAAGUGGACUAAUAUCUUUGGAUUCGCUGUGAGGAAAGAUUACCAAAACAAAACAGAAGUGAGUGCGACGACCCAGAUGAGGGCGCUCUUGAGCCUCUUCCCGACCGACCUAGAUGCAGGAGCAGAACACGGCGGAUCUAAUCAGCCAACCAAUAAAGCCGAGGAAGUAAGGGAGGAAGAAGACUGACUUGUCCUGGUCGCCCUCGUAGUUAGAACAUGGCGAACAGGAUGACGAGGAAGACGAGGACAGCGUCGAGGAUGUAGACGACGAGCCAGAGCAUGUUCAUGGGCAGGAUCAAGCAUGGGCAGGAUAAGGGCGCAGGCCCCGUUGUAGGCGGCGUGCUUGCAGGCCUGGCGGUUGGCGACGUCGGCGGGGAGCAUGAGGAUGGAGAGGACGGCGACGGUGAUGCCGAGCACGAUGACGAGCUUGAGGAAGUAGGCCUGGUUGGCAUCAUCCGGGUGCUGGUAGUUGACGAGCAGGCAGACGCUGACGAGGAGCACCAGGAUGCUGACCACCGCCGCCACGAUCACUAGCGCCACGUUAAAAAACCCAUAUCCUCGGGGCUCCGGUCCCGGUUCCGGCCCGCCGCCUCGCCCCCGUUGGUCGGUCAGAUCUCUCUGUCCCUAGAGGCGGGGGAUACAGGCUAGGGUUUGGGCGUGGGCGGGGAAUAGGCUGCUAUGGUGCCGGCAGCGGGGCGUGGAGGAGAGAAGGAUUAGGAGGAAUAAUUCACCACACUUUGAUUAACCUCUCGGCUGGGUCUUAUGUACAGAUUACAGGGCCAGCCAGGGAGAUCAUGAGGUGAUCCACUACCUGGGAUCGUGCGCCACGAUCACUACAUGCGUGCGCCACGAUCAUAUACACACACGCUACACCUAGUGUCUACGCAACUACGGUAUAGCAGUACGGUACAGUCUAACACCCCCCCCCCCCCGCAGUCGUGACGUCGUCGGCGGCGACGCAAAGACUGGACCGGAACUCAGAGAAAACAUCCGAUGGCAGGCCUUUGGUCAUGAUGUCCGCGAGUUGUUGGCGCGUGGGGAUGUGAAGAACACGGAAGUGGCCGAGGGCGACGCGCGCCCGCACGAAAUGGAUGUCCAGCUCCACAUGCUUAGUGCGGCGAUGAUGCAUCGGAUUGGCUGACAGGUAGACUGCGGACACAUUGUCACAGUACACCAGUGCUGCCUUGGUCACUGGAGCGGAGAGCUCGCCGAGAAGCUGGCGGAGCCAGAUGCAUUCAGCGACCGCGUUGGCGACGCCGCGGUAUUCAGCUUCGGCGCUGGAGCGCGAUACGGUCGCCUGGCGCUUGGAGGACCAGGAGACGAGAGCAUCGCCGAGGAAGACGCAGAAGCUCGACGUGGAGCGUCGGGUGUCGGGGCAGCCGGCCCAGUCCGCGUCGGUGAACGCAAGGACGUCGAGCGUGGUCGAGGCGUGAAGAUGAAGCCCGAGUGCGCAGGUGCCCUUCACGUACCGGAGCACGCGCUUGACGAGCGCGAGGUGGCAUUCGCGCGGGUCAUGCAUGUGCAAGCAGAUUUGCUGGACGGCGUAGGCGAUCUCUGGACGCGUGAUGGUGAGGUACUGCAGGGCCCCGGCGAUGCUCCGAUAGGCCGAGGGGUCGUCGACGCAGGGCCCAUCGGCUGAGAGGAGUUUGCUCUUCGUGUCGAUGAGUGUCGGGGAAGGGCGGCAGGUGUCCAUGCCGGCGCGUUCCAGGAGUUCGUCGGCAUAUUGUUGUUGCGACAGGAAGAAGCCAGCUCGGGUGCGGGUGACGCGGAUGCCGAGGAAGAAGGCGAGCGAGCCCAGGUCCUUCAUGGCGAAUUCGCCUGUGAGGCGCUGGAUGACAUGGUGAAGCACGCGUGACGAGGACGCGGUGAGCACGAUGUCGUGGAUGUAGAUGAGGAGGAACGCCAUGUCGUUGCCGUGCCGGAAGGUGAACAGCGACGAGUCCGAACGCGUAGCUGCGAAGCCAAUGGAGCGGACGAAGCCGGCGAAGCGGAGGAACCAGGCACGGGGCGCCUGCUUGAGCCCGUACAAGGACUUGGAGAGGCGGCAGACGUGCUCUGGUUUGUCGGGGUCGACGAAUCCGGCGGGCUGGAGGCAGUAGACUUCCUCCUCCAAGUUGCCGUGGAGGAAGGCGUUGGAGACGUCGAGGUGGUGCACCGGCCAGCCGCGCGACGCGGCCAUAGUGAGCACAGUGUGGAUCGUCGCUGGCUUGACGACGGGGGAGAACGUCUCGCCGUAGUCGACGCCGGCACGCUGAUGAAAGCCCCGCACGACCCAGCGUGCUUGCUAGCGGGCCAGCGCACCGUCGGCGUCGUUUUUGUGCUUGAAGAUCCACUUCCCUGUGAUCAGGUUGGCGCCGGGGGGGCGGGGCACCAGCUCCCAUGUGCGAUUGCGCACGAGCGCAUCGUACUCAGCACGCAUGGCACCGAGCCAGUUCGGGUCGUGAACAGCAGCGCGAACCGAACGCGGCACCGGCGACACCGAUGAUGAGGUAGAGGCGGUGGCCGCGUCGUAGUAGCGCGGGUUGGGGCGGAAGAUGCCGCGCUGGGCACGCAUGACCAUGGGCACAGGAGGCGCCGGUGCGCGGGGCGCCGUUGGUCGCGCGCUCGGAGACGAGCUGUCGGAGGAGCCACUGGCGGAGUUGUCGGAGGAGCCGCUGGCGGAGGCGAAGACAGGCGGACCUGGCGCGGAUGGGCACGUCGAGGACGGAGCAGAGCCGCCAUCGGAAGCGCCCGCAGCGCACCGCGAGCUAACGCGGCGCGCCCCGCUGGUUGGCGAUGAUGAGCGGGGCAGGCUGGUGAUGGAGAUCGGGCGCGCCGGCAGGACGGGUGACAUGCUGCUGUCAGGCACCGGUGGAAGCGCAGGCAGCGCAGGAGGCCGGACGGCGAGCGGGAUCUGCAGGGUAGAGGGUACGACGGGUGGCGUAGGCGACGGGGAAGAGGAUGCGAACGGGAAAACGUGGUCGUGGAAGAGAACGUGGCGAGACGUGAGGACACAGCGAGAGGUGAGGUCAAAGCAGCGAAAACCACGAUGAUCGGGAGGGUACCCGAGGAAGACGCAGGCGAUAGAACGUGGCUCGAGCUUAUGGCGGGUGGUGGCGGUGACGUUCGGAUAGAUGCGGAGUAAUUUGUGCGACGCCGAGCAGGAGUUCAUGCGGAGUGCAGGGCGCCGAGGCGCGGCAGGGCCGAUGAUUGAGCAGGUAGGUCGAGGUGUUGAGAGCCUCUGCCCAGAAGCGAGCGGGCAUGUGCGCAUGACAGAGAAGCACACGAACGCCGUCGUUGAUCGUGCGGAGAACUCGCUCGUCCUUGCCGUUCUGCUGACUGGUGUAUGGGCAGGUGAGACGGAAGUGUGUGCCGUGGCGAGCAAGCAGAGAGCGCACAGCUGCGCUGUCGAAUUCACGACCAUUGCCCGUUUGCAGUGCAAGUAUGGGUAACUGAAACUGAGUCUGAACAUAGGCAAAGAAAUCAACAAGUAUGGGAAGAACUUCAGACAUGUGUUUCAGAGGGAAAGUCCAGACAUAGUGACUGAAAUCAUCUAGUACAACUAAGUAAAACUGAUAGCCGGAUAUGCUUACAACGGGAGCGGUCCAUACAUCAAGGUGUAAAAGCUGGAAAGGAAAGAAACUAGCAGUGGUGGAUGUCUGAAACGGGAGCCAGGUGUGUUUGCCAACACGACAGGCAUGACAGACAGGCGGAUCACGGCAGAACUCCAGGGACUGAUCGGCAGCAACGGUGCGGAGUGCGGCAGCCCCUGGGUGGCCGAGACGUUGAUGCCACAGGUCGGUCGUGGCGGCGCCGGCGAAGAUGCCCGGGGAAUGGACGGAUGGCCGCACCACGGGAUAGAGAUCGCCGUCGGAGUCACAUCGGAGAAUCACUACCCUGGUUCGUAGGUCCUUGACAGAGAAACCACGAGCGUCAAAUUCAACAGAAACGGGGUAGGAACGACAAAGCUGCCGAACUGAAAGUAGGUUUUUGACGAGAGAUGGAGAGACGAGAACGUUGCGGAGAGGAAUGGGGGAAGUGCUGGUGAUCAGCGCGCCCGUGCCAACGUGGGUGAUGGGCAGGCGGUCACCACUGCCCACGAUGAUAGAUGCAGUAGUAGAGGACGGGCGAGUGGAGAGGAGAUUACCAGGGGAGGACGUCAUGUGCGCCGCGGCGCCGGAGUCGAGGUACCACUCCGGUGCGCUGCCAGAGGAGGAAGGGCUGGCCGAGGCGCUGUGGAGGGCGGCCUGGAGCGAGGCCAUGUCCCAUGGCUGGUGGGUUGCAGUCGACGAGCUGGCGCCGGGGUGCCCGUAGCCUGACAGGACGUCGGAGACGGGUGGAGUGACGCCGUAGCCGGGGAGGGUAGCGCCGUAGCCGUAUGGUGCAGCCGGCGACGGGGCGGCGAACAUGGCCUGCUGGUACGGCGUACCAGGGCGGGGGCCGAGCACUUCAGCUCCAGCCGCGCGCCAAGGCAUCGGCCAAGCCUGGACCAUGCCGGUCCAUGCGUUUGUACCGGGUGCAGGCGUGGGGUACGCUGGGGGAGGGCGGGGAGCCUGGGAGGACGGCGUGGGCGGGCCACCAAUGCCGUUGCCACGUCUGGGGCGGCGUCCGCGCCCACGCCCUUGGUUGGUGUUGCUGGGCGGGGGUGUGGGUGGUGUAGGAGAGCCGCCACGCCCGGCGACGAGAGCGUGCGCAGACUGCUGGCGAGUGGUCGACUGCUCUGCUCGGUGUUCCUCAAGCAGGACGAAGGAGCGCACCUGCAGGAACGACGGGAGCGGGACCUGCGAGGUGAUGUGAGGGAUGGCGGAGUGGAACUGCCGGUUCAGACCGCGGAGCAGGUUGAAGACCUGCCGCGAGUCGGUUACCGGCUGCCCGAGGUGGCGGAGUUGAUCCGUGAACGACUUCAUCUUGGUGCAGUACACCAUGAUCGACAUGUCGCCCUGAACGAUAGCGUGGUACUCGGCGUCGAGGUAGACAGCGCGAGCGAGGUGGUUGUCGCGGAAGAUUCCAUCGACCGCAGUCCAGACGGCCAGAGCAGUGUCGUCCGGCUGCAUGACGGCGUCGAGCAGGUCCGGCGAUAUGGUGGUGUAGAACCAGUGGACGACGACGUGAUCAGCCAUGCCCCACUCGGGAUCAUCGUGGCGGUGGAUGGCCGUGGCGCCGAACAUGCCGAUGACGGUGUCGAAGUGGCGGCGCCACUGCGUGUAGUUGCCGGCGAGAAGGUCGAGGGUGACCGGGACAUGACGACGGAUGUCCACGGUCUGCAGGAUCGCGGAGGCGACAGGUGCUGUAGCAGGAGGAGGAGGGAUGACGGGCACCGCGGGCGCGACAGGUGCUGGAGCCGGCGGUGCCUUGGCCAGGGGGACAGCGUUAAGGACGCCGUCGGCGCCGUGCUGCGAGGAGCGAGGGGACACGAUGGGGUUGUCAUCCAUGGCGGCGGAAGCGGGACUGGCGACCUGCGCGAAGGGAUUGAGCAGGUCGGGGGAAUCUGGUACCAUAGAGGAGAGAAGGAUUAGGAGGAAUAAUUCACCACACUUUGAUUAAGCUCUCGGUUGGGUCUUAUGUAUAGAUUACAGGGCCAGGGAGAUCACGGGGUGAUCCACUACCUGGGAUCGUGCGCCAGGAUCACUAUAUGCGUGCGCCACGAUUAUAUACACACAUGCUACAACUAGUGUCUACGCAACUACGGUAUAGCAGUACAAUACAGUCUAACAGGGCAGCCACCGGCGGGGAGGGCGGGAUCCACGCGGGGUGGCGGGAUUUGGGCAGGCGGUGGGCUCGGGGGAGGGCGGUGGCAGCGAAGCAGCAAGGAGGGGCUGGAGGAGAUGAAACGAAAGAGGUCGCGUGACACAGCGACAGCGUUGUCCAAUCCCCGCGCUGCCGAUUUAAAAAAAAGGUAAUGAUAACUCCCGAACGUUCGGGAGUUAAGCAUGGAAACCCGAACGGGUUUAGAUGGCAAGUUUAGUUUGCGUGAGAUUAGGAAAACAUGGCAAUUUUCUGACAAAAGAAAUGAAAAAGGAUGAAGUUGCCAUCCCUAUCAACUAAAGUUGCCAUCCCCUAUGAACUAAAGUUGCCAUGUAAAAACGUUCGGGACGAAAUGCUCAAAAUCCGAACGUUCGGAAGUUACUGGAUUCAAAAAAAUCCCCUUGCUGCCAAUCGCUGGUCCGUUUCUUUUUUCGCCCAAUCGCUAGGUGAUGACGUGGCUAUCGCGGGAAGGCGCCCUUGAUGCGUAGUCGAAUGGUUUUAAUUAAUAGGAAGCGAGUGCUUACUCUAGUUACUGAAUUAUGUACACCAAAUAAAGCCAUUUACACGUAGUUAAUGACAAAAAAAGUUGAUGUUUGCUACGCAAAUGUGUAGUACAAAUUAAGAAGUGCAAGAUAAAAAAAAAUGCUGGUCCUUGAUUCGUUGUUGAUCGUCAGCAUGCCAUCAUCAAUUUGUAGUUAAUUAUCAUACAAAUUGGCUCUUUCAUAGAGUUGGAGACUAGCUCCUUUGAUCAGCACGCGCUUAAACACAAACAGCACGUAUAUGUUUUGUCUCCGGAGUUCAAUUCUUCAUCGGCCAGUAAAAAUGGCCCGACCAGGUAGAGGAAAAGGCAUGUUUGUUAGUACGCCUGGAGGAAAUGCCUUUGAUUAGGGCAUCUUCAACAGCGACCAGUAAAUUUCCUCCCGCGUUCGUCCACGGAUAGGGGAUCAGUCCGCGGAUACGAAUACAGGAAUCAUCCAUCCAACGCUGUCCGCGUAUAUUUCAAACACAUUUUUUUUAAAAAUAGGAUGAAAUUCAUGCAAACACAAUGGAUUUCAUACAAACCGGACAAAAAUGUUUACAUUUUGGACAUUUUUUUUUACUAAAAACUCUACAGCCGGCGCCGGCGAAUAUCCACUCCGGCGACAUGGAUACCCUUGACUAGUCUACUGCCGGCCGCAGCGGAUCUCCGAUGUCGUCCCCAUGUCCGGCAGCUAUGAGCCCUAGAGGUAUAUGCUUCAGCGCAAAGAGCGGCUCGCCUCCCUACCGCUCAUCGGAGUGGAACAACCAGCUGAUGCUUCUGCCGAUGGAAAGGGUCCCUACGCUACACGGAUUAGAGUUGGUUUUGGGCUGGGAACGGCGGUGGCCUGCCAGAGGGCAAGACACCGACUGUGUAUGCUGGUGUCACCUGGUGUGGCAUUCGUGGGACCCAAGCGGCAGCGCCUCCUCGAUGAUGGCGGCGAGCGCGGACGUGUUGGACACCACCUCGUCGAUGUCCGUGCAGCCCGCUUCUUUCUCUAUAGGAAGGACGCGGUUACGCUCGCGUUGACAUCGGAUGACUCGGUCACAUGCACGGGAGGGGCGGUACGACAUGGCAUCGCCAAUGGCAGCCAUGAUGCCCGCGCCACCGUGCUCCCUCCCAGUGCCGACCUGGAGCAACUUGCCACUCCUCGGCUCGUGACCGGUGGGCUUGACGGGCCACCUAGCCAUUUUUUAUGCCAGACAACUCUUCUUCCUGCUCGUCAGAUGUCAUGGAUAAAACUGUUUAAGGAGGAAAAUGAUGAGUGGACGUGUGAUGCGGUUCUUGCCCAACAUCUGACAUUGUUUAAAUAGUGAGGGGACACGAGAGGAGCCAACCGGCGUUCUGUUUAAUGCCAACCGGCUCGCGAACGAACAUGUGGCCGGAGUAAUUAUCCUGGCACACACGAGGGUUUUAUGGUGGAAGGCGGGCAGUCUGCAGGAAUGAGGCGAGGAUGUGUGCUUAGCCGGCGUGCAGCAGGCGGUGCCCUCGGCCGGCGUGCUGCUUCCAUUGCGGAGGCAGUGAAAGGUCGCGUCCGCUCUGCAGCGCAUGAAUGCGGGCAGCUGGCGCAGAGCGGGAACGCGUGUGGGCGAGGGAGGAGGGGGUUUGGGCGGGUGGUCAGAAGAGGUCGUGGGUGUUGUCCGAACGCCUGCAAAGCCCCCCUCCAUGUUUGUCUCCAGUUUGCGGGAGAAAGUACGUCCGGACCGUCUCCAAUGGACCAAUACAGGCCCGCAUUGGAUGGCACAACACGUCCGGACGAUGUGGUCCGGAUGGUUGUGGACAGUUUAAUUGAGGGUCGGCGUUGGAGAUGCCUUAGAGUUUAUGAAUCCAUUGUGUUUUUCUAAUCAUAAAAAAGCACUUACAAUAAGUUAUAAGGAAAGACACGAUUAUAUGUUAGGUUCAGACUCCAGCUUUCGUUUUACAUAUGCUUUAUUCAUCCGACUGAUUCCAAUAGAGUGAGCCUAGCGUUGUUUUUCUGGAAACUCGCGGGAUAAGGAGACAUGCAUACACAUUCUUUCAAGCAAAUCACAUCCAUUUUUUUUAACUCAUUUUUCUUCUUUUAAUAAUAUAAUAGAUCAUUUAUAUUUUUUAUCUGAAACAGUUGACGUGUAAUUUAUAUUGUAAUCUGAGGAUAAUGUUUGGAUUUUACUUUCAAAUAUAUUUGAAAUGGCCAUGAUGGAAUCACAUCCAUUUAUUUUAUUAUUAUUUGAAUUUGAUCCAAAAGAUAAAUAAUGAGUAGAGGUCAUGUCAACUUUUCUGAGAACUUUGCUAAUCAAAAUAUAAAUUGUAUUUAAAAACAUCUAUUUUUUAGCACGCAUGAAAAACAUAACACGUAUCUUUUCACACAUAAUGAACGGUUGUCAUAAGAACUCAUGCCAUGCCACAACCUCCCUCCGACCCUGCCAACAUUGUUGCAGCUGCACUCGCAAGCCUUAGCGUAGAUGAUAAUUUAUACAAUUUGCGUAAAAACAAAAUAAGAUCUACAAAUGAAUAGAAGCUAGAACGUACAUUGGCAUGCACACACAUUGCAAGCCAUACUAAGCUGAUAAGUGUUAAUAACUUGUAUAACAUAUACAACACUUAACACAAGUAAAAGCAAUUUGAUGAGUCAUGGUCUAUCAAAGCCACAUUACUAGUCUAAUCCAUCUUAACAGGUCACACAUGAUUAAAAUCUUGUUUGUGUGCAAGUCAAGCUUAUCUAGUUUACAUGUAACAACUUGUAGAACAUUACAAAAUUUAUGUUUGCUAAUAACUUCUAGAACACUACAACACUUGACAUGUAAAAGGAAUUUGAUGAGUCAUGGCCUACUAAAGCAAGUUAUAUUACUAGUCUUAUCUACCUUAACAGGCCACACAAGAUUACAAACCAAGUUCUGUGCCAGCCAUGCUUAUCUAGUUUAUGCGUAACAAUUUGCAGAAAAUUACAAACUUAGUUUCAGAAAAAUAGGCAAUCUAGAUUAGUGUUUGAGCUGUAAAGUGAAUAAAAUGAGUCAUGCGUGUUAUCACACCUUUUUGGUUGUGGAAUGAUAGUGCAACAACAAGGAACUUUAAUGACCAGUUCAAGAAUACACUUGUAAGUAGUGCCACCGAACACAACAUACCAAAUUAUGAUUUUGAGAAGCAUCCAAGCACUUCCACACAAGCAAAUGCCAAUUGUGAAAGAGAUCAUGCCAUGGCAGCUAUAAAUAGGCCCGUAGCAUGACGAUCAUCCUUCCUCAUCCAUCAUUCUCAUAAGUAGAGCGCAUCAUUUAAGCCAAGCAAGCAGUGCUCAAUACAAAUCCACCAUGAAGACCUUUCUCAUCCUUGCACUCCUUGCUAUUGUAGCAACCACCGCCACAAUUGCAGUUAGAGUUCCAGUGCCACAAUUGCAGCCACAAAAUCCAUCUCAGCAACAACCACAAGAGCAAGUUCCAUUGGUACAACAACAACAAUUUCCAGGGCAGCAACAACCAUUUCCACCACAACAGCCAUAUCCGCAGCCGCAACCAUUUCCAUCACAACAACCAUAUCUGCAGCUGCAGCCAUUUCCGCAGCCGCAACUACCAUAUCCGCAGCCGCAUCUACCAUAUCCGCAGCCGCAACCAUUUCGACCACAACAACCAUAUCCACAACCGCAACCACAGUAUUCGCAACCACAACAACCAAUUUCGCAGCAGCAGCAACAACAACAACAACAACAACAACAACAGAUCCUUCAACAAAUUUUGCAACAACAACUGAUUCCAUGCAGGGAUGUUGUAUUGCAACAACACAGCAUAGCGCAUGGAAGCUCACAAGUUUUGCAACAAAGUACUUACCAGCUGGUGCAACAAUUGUGUUGUCAGCAGCUGUGGCAGAUCCCCGAGCAGUCGCGGUGCCAAGCCAUCCACAAUGUUGUUCAUGCUAUUAUUCUGCAUCAACAACAACAACAACAACAACAACAACAACAACAACAACCGUUGAGCCAGGUCUCCUUCCAACAGCCUCAACAACAAUAUCCAUCAGGCCAGGGCUCCUUCCAGCCAUCUCAGCAAAACCCACAGGCCCAGGGCUCUGUCCAGCCUCAACAACUGCCCCAGUUUGAGGAAAUAAGGAACCUAGCGCUAGAGACGCUACCUGCAAUGUGCAAUGUCUAUAUCCCUCCAUAUUGCACCAUUGCUCCAGUUGGCUUCUUCGGUACUAACUGAGAAGAGAAGAACUCUAGUAGUAGACAUAUGAUACACCGUUUUCUUAGUCCAUGGUUUGGUCGUUGUAGCGGUGAAAAAAUAAAGUGACAUGCAGUAUCAUGUAAGAACCCGAACUAUACUAGUUCAAACAUGGGAAUAAAAGACAAACACAUGUCUUGUCUACAUAUGAUUGUUUGUUUGAGUUCCACUCAUGUGCCCACUCACAAGUUCACCCCUAAUUAUAUAUAUUAUGCAUUAAGUAGAUAUUUAUGUUGCAUUAAUCUAAAGAUAACAAAAUGAGUCUGAAAUUUGACUUAAAUUGAAGUAUUUCCUUGGACGUUCAAAUGGAGUAUUAUUAAAGUAGUAAGGACUAUCCACAUCCUUGGCUUGCCCUUGAUCAAUUAUUUCCAGAGAAGCAUUCAAUUCAUCAAUCAAUUACAUUGAUUUUUGUGGCUGGUACUUCUCCUCAACAUGAGUAUAUUCAUCGCGGCUACUCCAAAUAGGCAUGAAUGAGGUACCGGUGCUCUGGAGCACUGGUACCUAACUGCUUCUCAUGUGAAGGGGUGCGGGCGCGGGAGAGGUGUUUUUGGUGGGCCAGGGGAGUAAGAAUCGGCCGUGGCAGCGGUCCAGACGCCCACAAAGCCCCGUAGUUUGUUUUUGGUUUACAGGAAAAUGCACAUCCAGACCGGCCUGCGGGCCGAUAUAGGACCGUAUUGGAUGGCAAAACAUGUCCGGAUGGUCGCGAGCGGUUUAAGGGUUAGCUUUUGUAACGCCUGGUUAGUUAUGCUAUGGUAAUUCCCUGCUAAUGAUGUCACGUCAGCACGAUUACUGUUGUUAACCUCACAAUGAUUCAAUCCCAUUCAAAUUCAAAUUUAAAAUAAAGGCAAAAAUCAAAAGUCUCAAACAUUAAAACUAAAAUCUUCGAGAGGUGAAAAAUAAUGCAUAAGUAAUUAUGGUGGAGCAACCACACUUUUAUAAAAUGUUUAAAUACUCUAAAAAUAAUAAAACAGUGGCUUAAACUAUUAUUUAAAUGCUUUUAAAAUAGUAAAAAUGUUCUAACUAAAUUAAUUGGGUACCAAACUUUUGGUGGCAGUGGUAUAUUUAGUAGAACUAAUUUAGAUGCUAAUAAAACAUAAAAGGAAAGACAAAACAAAUAAAAGUAAAAGGGGGCAACCCCUCGCUGGGCCUCGGCCAAGCUGGCCACUGGGCUAGCUAGGUUGGCCCAACCGCCUCCCUUAACCCCCCACUCCCCAUCGAACCCUAGACCGAUCGCCCCACUUCCCCCACACCCCCUCGUCAGCCUCCCCACCUCUCGAUCCCAUCUGGAUCGGGGAGGGGAUCGCCCCCAUCGACCCCGUCGCGGUCGCUGGAUCGCCCGCUCGCCCAUCGCCCGCCGCCGUCGCGAGACCUCCUCCCCGUCGCACGUCUCCGACUCUCCUCCCCUCUCGCUCCUCUUCCCCGACCCGAUCUGGAUCGGGAAGGGCCAAUGAGCCAAACGCCCCCCUCCAUCGACGAUGUGCUCCAGCACCGCCGCCCGAAGACCUCGCCCUCGCCGGACCUCGCGUCGCCUCCUCGUAUCCCUCCCCGACUCGCCUCCUCAAGCCACGCCGACCCCCUUCUCGGCAACGCUGUGAGCUGCCCCCGUUUCCAUCCUUCUCUUUCCACCGUGUUCACCGCGCUGCCUGCCGUGCCCCUCGCUGCGCGCACGCCCACCACCGUGCCAGCCCCUGCUCCGAGCCCUCUCCUGCACGCUUGUGCGCGCAUGACCCUAGCCGCGCCCACGCCGUGAUCCCCUUGUCCCGCCCGCCUUCGUCCCGCGCUCGCCGCGGCCCCCAUGCUCCCAUGCGCCCUCUUUUGGGGGCGUCGGCUGCCCCUGUCCCGCAGCUCGCUGGCAUGCGUCCCCGCCCGCGCCUCGCCACCGCUCUACUGCUACGCUACUAUUGCGCUGUGGCCGCCGCCGCUUCCCGCUGCUCUGCCAGCGCCAAAGCUCCCGGUUGGCCCUGCCGCUGCUCGCGUUUAACCGCCGGCCUAAGCGGCCUAACCUCCCCCCUCGCUAAUGAACCCCCACCGACCCGCUGACACCGGGACCCACAUCCCCUAAUUAACCAUUUAAUAAAUUAAAACUCUUAAAUUAACAUUAGUGUAUGACAUGUGGGUCCCCUAUUAAUUAAACUGAUUUAAUUAAAAUCUAUUAACUUUGAGUCUAUGACAUAUGGGCCCCACUAAACAUUUGACCAGUCAACGGUCCAGUCAAAUGCUGACCGGACAGUUGACCAGAGGGCCCCGCCAGUCAGCCAAUGUGCUGUUCUGCUGGGUACCUUUCUAAGUACACCUAGCAUUUUACAUUUACAAUAUUUGUUUUAAAAUAAAUUAGAAUAAUUUCAAAAAAAUAUUAAAACUUUUAAAAUUAAAAUAAAAUAAUCCAUAACUCGGAUGAAAUUACUUUAUACAUGGAAGUUGCUCAAAAAACGAGACGAAUUCGAAUACACAGUCCGUUCGUCUGCCACGCGUCCCUAGCAUAGCGAACAUGCAACCAUCCCCCUCCGGUUCGACUCUCCGAAAAAUUAUUAUUGCACAUGCCCGCUAAGAGGUUGGCUGUAUAUGACAUGACAACUUCUUAUAGCCGACCCUUGGCUGUAAUAUUAACCAUGCUCUUAGUGAGGUAGCUAGUAUAUCAUAGACGACUAGCUAGUAUCAGACUAGCCAAAGUGGGAGUAACUUCAGCAGUAACAUCGACUCCAACUCAGCAAACUUGCUUAUGUGGGAGUAAACCCUGCCUAAUGCAAAAUACAAUCCCAGUCGUAAUUUUUUCAGGAAACGUGUGGGAUCCCAAACGAAAAGCACACGUCACUCUUGCGGCAACCGUCGGUGACACCCAAUAAAUCACAAACGGUAUGCAGCACUUGUAUGUGUGCAAAGGGGCUCCUGAACCGUUUGUGAUAGAACAUUAUCGCAGACGGUAAUUGUUGGCAAACGUGUGCGAUGGAGUCUAGCAUGGCAGACGGGUUACGCAGAAAACUCGUGUGCGAUGGGGCACAAAUCGCACACUGUUCAUAUGUUGGCCCAUGUGCCUUACAUACUAUUUCCCAAAUGGUUUGUUACGACAGACCGUAUCGUUUCAGUGCGUCAUUAGAAACGCUUAAUCACUGAUACCACACGUGCGAAAGAAUUUAGUGCGUGCUGCAUCGCACACGAUUACAUUUUGGAAGGCCUCUGGAUCACUGCUCCAUAUCCCCGACGGUUUCUGGGCCGUGUGGGAAGGACACCCUAUCACACACACUCACUUGGCGACGGCUCCAAAUGCUGUCGUGGAAAGGGGUUAAAAACAGUUUGUUUAGGACCGACGCGUACCAGUGUCUAUCUAUCUAUCUAUCUAUCUAUCCAUCUAUCUAUCUAUCUAUCUAUCUAUCUAUCUAUCAAUCUAUCUAUCCAUCUAUCCAUCUAUCCAUCUAUCCAUCUAUCCAUCUAUCUAUCUCAAUCCACCUAUCUAUCUAUCCAUCUAUCCAUCUAUCUAUCUCUCCAUCUAUCCAUCUAUCUAUCCAUCUAUCCAUCCAUCUACUAUCCAUCUAUCUAUCCAUCCAUCCAUCUAUCUAUCCAUCCAUCUAUCUAUCUAUCUAUCUAUCUAUCUAUCUAUCUAUCUAUCUAUCUAUCUAUCUGUCUGUCUAUCUAUCUAUCUAUCUGUCUGUCUGUCUAUCUAUCUAUCUAUCCAUCUAUUCAUCUAUCUAUCUAUGUAUCCAUUUAUCCAUUGAUCCAUCUAUCGAUCCAUCGAUCCAUCCAUCUAUCCAUCCAUCUAUCCAUCCAUCUAUCUAUCCAUAUAUCCAUGUAUCCAUGUAUCCAUCUAUCCAUCUAUCGAUCUAUCCAUCUAUCCAUCUAUCCAUCUAUCCAUCUAUCUAUCUAUCCAACCAUCUAUCGAUCUAUCGAUCUAUCGGUCUAUCCAUCUAUCGAUCUAUCCAUCUCUCCAUCUACCAAUCUAUCCAUCUAUUCAUUUACCGAUCUAUCUAUCCAUCUAUCUAUCUAGCUAUCUACCUAUCUAUCUAUCUAUCUAUCUAGCUAUCUAGCUAUCUAUCUAUCUAGUUAUUUAGCUAUCUAUCUGUCUACCUACCUACCUACCUAUCUAUCUAUCUAUCUAUCUAUCUAUCUAUCUAUCUAUCUAAAGGAAAUAUGCCCUAGAUGCAAUAAUAAAGUUGUCAUUUAUAUUUCCUUAUAUCAUGAUAAACUAGCGGAGUCACCCGCGCAUUUGCGCGGCUAGAUUGACUACAUAUAUUGUUAUAUUUGGGAUUAUUUUUCUAUGCCAAUUUUAUGGCCUCUUACUCAGAUAUUAUCUAAUUGAAUUUACCACCACCAUAUGUUAUAUCCAUAGAUUAUAAUUAAAAGGCAACUUCCGACGAAACAUGGACAGAUUAUUGAGUGCUUAGAAGACGGACGCAAUAUCAUAUAUAGACUUCUAUACCAAUCUUCAUGGUUCCCAUCUUUGAUCCUCUCCUCGUCCCUUGGUAUCUAUCUUUGCACCCAAUAUGUCUUUGGAGUUCCAAGAAUUGAAUCUUAGCAUGAAUGGCUUCAAUGUGUACCAAAUGUUCUCUUGUUCCUCCCAAAUUAAUUACUGGUUGCAUUCUUAGUUGCUUUGACAUUCUUGGUUAAUGCAAUGUCUUGCCUACCAAUAUAUGCAUCCACACACGAUAAUAUUUAUAUGACCACUUACCUUUGUAUUCUGGUAUUUGUGCUUCAGAAUUUUUCUCUCAUUCAGUUUAUUCAUAGAUUAAAAACGUCGAUCGUUUCUUUAUUGGUUUGCAUUAUCUUGUUUGCCGAACGUAAGCAUCCACACAUGCUCGUCAUGAUAUGAUUGGUCAUCAUUGUAUAUUUGUAUUUGUGUGUUGAUAGCUUAAGGAUUUUCUCGGAUUCACUUCAUAGUUUAAGGAUUUUCUCGCGUUCAAUUUAUUCUACCUUAUUCAUUUUCAUGUUUCUUUAUUGCAUUUAUAUCAAUUCUUACAAUAUAUUUUCCAAGAUAUGAACUCAACUGCUAAUUACGUAGUUUUUCAUCAAAAAUUACAUGUAAAAAUGUUACAAAUGCAUAAACAUGAUAAAAAUAUAUAUCAUAUUCCAUUGAGAGAUCGCCCAUUUAAAAAAAACACGUUGACUUACAAAAAGGACAAUUCAAGCUGCAUGUACGUCCGACUCAUGUUUACCUGACAAUGUCGAUGUUGAUUUCAGCAGUAAAUGAGCUGUGUGUGACCUUUGCGCUUUCCGGUAUUCUUCUAACCUGUGUGCUUUAUGAUCAGUUUGUUGUGCUUAGUACUGGACACUGGAGUAUACUAUCAUAUUUGGUACAAAUAAAUCUGAACUACUAUAGUUAUGAUCCACUCUAUAGUUAAUGGUGGUGGUAAUUAAUAUAUGUGGUUAAAUACUUGCGCUCCUUAGGUGGGGAGUUGAAUUUGUAUUUCCCUAAAAUAAAUUUCAGAUUUCGUAAUAGUGGUGAAGCCAGCCGGAAGAACCUCUGCGUCAUUAUUAAUUUUGGUGAUAUUUUUCUUCAUAGUGUAGAAUAAUUUUAGUGCUUAUUCCGCAAAAAAUAUGGCCUCAACUGACCCCAUAGCUUGUAUGUUGCGCCACCACUGUUUCCUAUAUCUUUUUACAUCCGUUGUUUUUAGAUCUUGAUGCAUAACUUUGACAAUAUUUAAUAGAUAUGUGUCUGUAUAAAAAAUUAUAAAUGCUAUGAUAAUUUGAUUAAUUAUGAUGAAUAAAAUGUUAUUGCUCUGACUUGAUCCCUCUAGAAUUUUCCAAAAUUUCACAUUACAGUUGUAGUAGUGCAUGCUACCUCUUGAGCACUGCAUUAGUUUUCCCUUGAAGAGGAAAGGGUGAUGCAGUAAAGCAGCGUCAGUAUUUCCCUCGGUUUUUGAGAACCAAGGUAUCAAUCCAGUAGGAGGCCACGCAUGAGUCCCUCGCACCUACACAAACAAAUAAAAUCCUCGCAACCAACGCAAUAAAGGGGUUGUCAAUCCCUUCACGGUCACUUACGAAAGUGAGAUCUGAUAGAUUUGAUAAGAUAAUAUUUUUGGUAUUUUUAUGAUAAAGAUGCAACGUAAAGAAAGCAAAAUAAAAAAAGCGCCAGAAAUAGCUUGUUGACGGGAGAUUAAAAUAGACCGGGGGGCCAUAGGUUUCACUAGUGGCUUCUCUCGAGAGCAUAAGUAUUUCGGUGGGUAGACAAAUUACUGUUGAGCAAGUGACAGAAUUGAGCAUAGUUAUGAGAAUAUCAAGGUAUGAUCAUGUAUAUAGGCAUCACGUCCGAGGCAAGUAGCCCGACUCCUGCCUGCAUCUACUACUAUUACUCCACACAUCGACCGCUAUCCAGCAUGCAUCUAGAGUAUUAAGUUCAAAAAACAGAGUAACGCUUUAAGUAAGAUGACAUGAUGUAGAGGGAUAAACUCAUGCAAUAUGAUAUAAACCCCAUCUUGUUAUCCUCGAUGGCAACAAUACAAUACGUGCCUUGCUGCCCCUACUGUCACUGGGAAAGGACACCGCAAGAUUGAACCCAAGCUAAGCACUUCUCCCAUCGCAAGAAAGAUCAAUCUAGUAGGCCAAACCAAACUGAUAAUUCGAAGAGACUUGCAAAGAUAACCAAUCAUACAUAAAAGAAUUCAGACAAGAUUCAAAUAUUGUUCAUAGAUAAACUUGAUCAUAAACCCACAAUUCAUCGGUCUCAACAAACACACCGCAAAAGAAGAUUACAUCGAAUAGAUCUCCACAAGAGAGGGGGAGAACAUUGUAUUGAGAUCCAAAAAGAGAGAAGAAGCCAUCUAGCUAAUAACUAUGGACCCGAAGGUCUGAGGUAAACUACUCACACAUCAUCGUAGAGGCUAUGGUGUUGAUGUAGAAGCCCUCCGUGAUCGAUGCCCCCUCCGGCGGAGCUCCGGAAAAGGCCCCAAGAUGGGAUCUCACGGGUACAGAAGGUUGCGGUGAUGGAAUUAGGUUUUUGGCUCCGUAUCUGGUAGUUUGGGGGUACGUAGGUAUGUAUAGGAGGAAGAAGUACGUCGGUGGAGCAACGUGGGCCCCACGAGGGCGCGCCCCCCUACCUCGUGCCUUCCUGGUAGAUUUCUUGACGUAGGGAACAAGUCCUCUAGAUAACGUUCGUUCCCAAAAUCACGUUUCCGAAGGUUUCAUUCCGUUUGGACUCCGUUUGAUAUUCUUUUUCUGUGAAACUCUGAACUAGGCAAAAAACAACAAUUCUGGGGUGGGCCUCCGGUUAAUAGGUUAGUCCCAAAAAUAAUAUAAAAGUGUAUAAUAAAGCCCAUUAAUGUCUAAAACAGAAUAUAAUAUAGCAUGGAACAAUAAAAAAUUAUAUAUACGUUGGAGACGUAUCAAGCAUCCCCAAGCUUAAUUCUUGCUCGUCCUCGAGUAGGUAAAUGAUAAAAACAGAAUUUUUAAUGUGGAAUGCUACUUGGCAUAAUUUCAAUGUAAUUCUCUUAAUUGUGGUAUGAAUAUUCAGACCCGAAAGAUUCAAGACAAAAGUUUAAUAUUGACAUAAAAAUAAUAAUACUUCAAGCAUACUAACUAAGCAAUUAUGUCUUCUCAAAAUAAAAUGGCCAAAGAAAGUUAUCCCUACAAAAUCAUAUAGUCUAGCUAUGCUCUAUCUUCACCACACAAAGUAUUUAAAUUAUGCACAACCCGGAUGACAAGCCAAGCAAUUGUUUCAUACUUUUGAUGUUCUCAAACUUUUUCAAUCUUCACGCAAUACAUGAGCAUGAGCCAUGGACAUAGCACUAUAUGUGGAAUAGAAUGGUGGUUGUGGAGAAGACAAAAAAGGAGAAGAUAGUCUCACAUCAACUAGGCGUAUCAACGGGCUAUGGAGAUGCCCAUUAAUAGAUAUCAAUGUGAGUGAGUAGGAAUUGCCAUGCAACGGAUGCACUAGAGCUAUAAGUAUAUGAAAGCUCAACAAAAGGAACUAAGUGGGUGUCCAUCCAACUCGCUUGCUCAUGAAGACCUAGGGCAUUUUGAGGAAGCCCAUCAUUGGAAUAUACAAGCCAAGUUCUAUAAUGAAAAUUUCCCACUAGUACAUGAAAGUGAUAUCAUAGGAGACUCUCUAUCAUGAAGAUCAUGGUGCUACUUUGAAGAACAAGUGUGGUAAAAGGAUAGUAACAUUGUCCCUUCUCUCUUUUUCUCUCUUUUUUUAUUUGGGUCUUUUAUUCUUUUUUUAUGGCCUCUUUUUUUUAGUCCGAAGUCUCAUCCCGACUUGUGGGGGAAUCAUAGUCUCCAUCAUCCUUUCCUCACUUGGGACAAUGCUCUAAAAAAAUGAUGAUCAUCACACUUUUAUUUACUUACAACUCAACAAUUACAACUCAAUACUUAGAACAAAAUAUGACUCUAUGUGAAUGCCUCCGGCGGUAUACCGUGAUAUGCAAUGAAUCAAGAGUGACAUGUAUGAAAGAAUUAUGAACGGUGGCUUUGCCACAAAUACAAUGUCAACUACAUGAUCAUGGAAAGCAAUAUGACAAUGAUGGAGUGUGUCAUAAUAAACUGAACGGUGGUAAGUUGCAUGGCAAUAUAUCUCAGAAUGGCUAUGGAAAUGCCACGGUAGGUAGGUAUGGUGGCUGUUUUGAGGAAGGUAUAUGGUGGGUGUAUGAUACCGGCGAAAAGUGCGCGGUAUUAGAGAGGCUAGCAAUGGUGGAAGGAAGAAAGUGCGUAUAAUCCAUGGACUCAACAUUAGCCAUAAAGAACUCAUAUACUUAUUGCAAAAAUCUACAAGUUAAUGAAAAUCUAGGGGGAUAGAUUGGUAGGAAAAGACCAUCGCUCGUCCCCGACCGCCACUCAUAAGGAAGACAAACAAUAAAUAAAUCAUGCUCCGACUUCAUCACAUAACGGUUCACCAUACGUGCAUGCUAAGGGAAUCACAAACUUUAACACAAGUAUUUCGCAAAUUCAAAACUACUCAACUAGCAUGACUGUAAUAUCACCAUCUCCAUAUCUCAAAACAAUUAUCAAGUAUCAAACUUCUCAUAGUAUUCAACACACUCAUAAGAUUUUUUUUACUAAUCUUGAGUGCCUAUCAUAAUUAAAGCAAAUUACCACGCUGUUUUGUAGGACUAUCAAAAUAAUCUAAGUGAAUCAUGAGAGAACAAUAGUUUCUAUAAAAAAAAACCACCACCGUGCUCUAAAAGAUAUACGUGAAGCACUAGAGCAAAAACUAUAUAGCUCAAAAGAUAUAAGUGAAGCACAUAGAGUAUUCUAACAAUUUCCGAAUCAUGUGUGUCUCUCUCAAAAGGUGUGUACUGCAAGGAUUAUUGUGGCAAACUAACAAAUAAAGACUUCAAAUAAUACAAGACGCUCCAAGAAAAACACAUAUCAUGUGGUGAAUAGAAAUAUAGCUCCAAGUAAAGUUACCGAUGGAAGUAGACGAAAGAGGGGAUGCCUUCCGGGGCAUCCCCAAGCUUUGGCUUUUAGGUGUCCUUAGAUUAUCUUGGGGUGCCAUGGGCAUCCCCAAGCUUAGGCUCUUGCCACUCCUUGUUUCAUAAUCCAUCAAAUCUUUCACCCAAAACUUGAAAACUUCACAACACAAAACUCAGCAGAAAAUCUCGUGAGCUCCGUUAGCAAAAGAAAACAAAACACCACUUCAAGGUACUGUAAUGAACUCAUUAUUUAUUUAUAUUGGUGUUAAACCUAAUGUAUUCCAACUUCUCUAUGGUUUAUAAACUAUUUUACUAGCCAUAGAUUCAUCAAAAUAAGCAAACAACACACGAAAAACAUAAUCUGUCAAACACAGAACAGUCUGUAGUAAUCUGUAACUAACGCAAUUUUCUGGGACUCCAAAAAUUGACCCAAAAUAGGAAGACCUAGACAAUUUUUUUAUUGAUCAGCAGCAAUUGGAAUCAAUAUUUUAGCACGUCCUGGUGAUUUUUAACAAUUAUUUUCAUGAACAGAAAGUUUCUGGAAUUUUCAGCAAGAUCAAAUAACUAUCAUCCUAGAAGAUCCUAUAGGUUAAACAUGGCACAAACACUAAUUAAAACAUAAAAACACAUGUAACCAGAGGCUAGAUCAAAUAUUUAUUCCUAAAAAAAAGAAAAAAGCAAAAAAACUAAAAAUAAAAUUGGGUUGCCUCCCAACAAGCGCUAUCGUUUAACGCCCCUAGCUAGGCAUAAUAGCAAGGAUAGAUCUAGGUAUUGCCAUCUUUGGUAGGCAAUCCAUAAGUGGCUCUCAUAAUAGAUUCAUAAGGUAAUUUUAUUUUCUUUCUAGGGAAGUGUUCCAUGCCUUUCCUUAAUGGAAAUUGGAAUCUAAUAUUCCCUUCCUUCAUAUCAAUAAUUGCACCAAUCGUUCUAAGGAAAGGUCUACCAAGAAUAAUAGGACAUGAAGGAUUGCAAUCUAUAUCAAGAACAAUAAAAUCUACGGGCACAUAAUUCCUAUUUGCAACAAUAAGAACAUCAUCAAUUCUUCCCAUAGGUUUCUUAAUGGUGGAAUCCGCAAGGUGCAAGUUUAAAGAGCAAUCAUCAAAAUCACGGAAACCUAGCAAAUCGCACAAAAUCUUUGGAAUCGUGGAAACACUACCACCCAAAUCACACAAAGCAUAGAAUUCAUGAUCUUUAAUUUUAAUUUUAGUAGUAGGUUCCCACUCAUCAUAAAGUUUUCUAGGGAUAGAAACUUCCAACUCAAGUUUUUCUUCAUAAGAUUGCAUCAAAGCAUCAACGAUAUGUUUAGUAAGGCUUUAUUUUGACUAUAAUCAUGUGGAGAAUUUAGCACGGAUUGCAACAAGGAAAUACAAUCUAUCAAAGAGCAAUUAUCAUAAUUAAAUUCCUUGAAAUCCAAAAUAGUGGGUUCAUUAAUAUCUAGAGUUUUGAUUUCUUCAAUCCCACUUUUACCAAUUUUUGCAUCAAGAUCUAAAAACUCUGAAUUUUUGGAACGCCUUCUAGGUAGAGGUGGAUCAUAUUCAGUCCCAUCAUUAUCAAGAUUCAUAUUGCAAAACAAAGAUUGAAUAGGGGACACAUCAAUAACUUUUAGAUCUUCAUCUUUAUUUUCAUAGAAACUAGAAGAACACGCUUUCACAAAACAAUCUUUCUUAGCACGCAUCCUAGCGGUUCUUUCUUUGCACUCAUCAAUGGAAAUUCUCAUGGCCUUGAGAGACUCAUUGAUAUCAUGCUUAGGAGAAAUUGUAUCAGCGUUCCUAGCCAAUUCAUCAACUUUAAGCAAUUUUUCUUGAAGCAAAGCGUUGAAAUUGUUUUGCGAAUUCAUAAAUUCUUUAACACUAGUCUCAAAUUCAGAAGGCAUCUUAUUAAAAUUUACAUAAUAAUUGUUGUAGGAAUUACCAUAAUUAUUAGAGGAAUUACUAGGAUACGACCUUGGAUUAAAGUUUCCUCUAUACGCGUUGUUACCAAAAUUAUUCCGACCAACAAAAUUCACAUCCAUAGAUUCAUUAUUAUUCUCAAUCAAAGUAGACAAAGGCAUAUCAUUAGGAUCAGAAGAAACACUUUUAUUAGCAAAUAAUUUCAUAAGUUCAUCCAUCUUACACUCAAAACAUUAAUUUCUUCUAUCGCAUGCACUUUUUUAUUAGUGGAUUUUUCGGUGUGCCAUUGAGAAUAAUUAACCAUAAUAUUAUCUAGGAGUUUAGUAGCUUCUCCUAAAGUGAUUUCCAUAAAAGUGCCUCCCGCGGCCGAAUCUAAAAGAUUUCUAGAAGAAAAAUUCAAUCCGGCAUAAAAAUUUUGUAUAAUCAUCCACAAAUUCAAACCAUGAGUAGGGCAAUUACGUAUCAUUAAUUUCAUCCUCUCGCAAGCUUGUGCAACAUGUUCAUGAUCAAGUUGCUUAAAAUUCAUAAUAUCGUUUCUGAGAGAGAUGAUCUUAGUGGGAGGAAAAUACUUAGAGAUAAAAGCAUCUUUGCACUUAUUUCAAGAAUCACUACUAUUUUUAGGCAAAGACGAAAACCAAGCUUUAGCACGAUCUCUAAGCGAAAAAGGAAAUAGUUUCAAUUUAACAAUAUCAUUGUCCACAUCUUUCUUCUUUUGCAUAUCACACAAAUCAACGAAGUUGCCAUGUCUAGGAAUGCUUGAAGCUUCAAAGAUUUCCUAUAAUACAACAUGCCUCUAACUAUUCACAAUAAGAAAAACAUGUAAAUGCGGAAUCAACCAAAUGAUGGUAAAUUGUAGUUGAUUUUGGCCAAGCAAACGUCAGAUGAAAGAAACAUACAUGAGUGAACAUCACUAUUGGAUGUUUUAUUCAAAUUUAAUAGGUUAAACUCACCAAAUCCAUCUGGAUAUUUAGUAUUAAACUUCAACAGAUGGUCAGUUGUAGCUAGAUUCACACCACUGAAGCAAAAUUCCAUCUGCCACGGUUACAUCACACCAUCUUUUCAUCGUUACUAUUUAAAUUCCAAAUGCCUGCAACUCAUUUUUUUUGUUACGAUGUAUGCAUGAUUUUUAACUCAAGAGGAAGAGGGGAAACUAAAUCCAAGAAAAGAACACCAAGGAAGCAUCCAAAAUAGAGAAAGGAAAAAAAUCCAAAAUAGAGGCAGAAUCGAAGGGAAGAAACCCCAUAAAAAAUAGGAGAUCAAACGGUGAAAAAAAUCUAAGAGUCAAACAAUUCUAGGUAAGACCAAAUCGACGGCAAAAUAGCACAAGAGGGACUCACAUUAACAGGUAUACCAGGUAUACCAAUUUAGAAAGAAGUGUAAAGCGAACAGUGCAAUGGACCACUAGUAUAAAUUGGAUGUACACAAACAUGGGACUUAAACAAGAACUGCGAGAUGCAGGGUUCACGUGCAAACCCAAAAAAUGGAAAACUGAAACCCACAACAAGAUUUUAUCUUCAUAUAUAUAUAUAUAUAUAUAUAUAUAUAUAUAUAUAUAUAUAUAUAUAUAUAUAUAUAUAUAUAUAUUCAAGGCUCGCCCUAUCUAUUAGUUGCUUCUUCCGAAUCCCCACCUAUCAAGCGUUUUCUCUGAAUAAACAAACACAAUAGUAUUCUUUGAAUUAUACUGUACAACGGUAAUUAACCAAGCGACUGGAAUUAACAAUAUUAUGAGCUAUUGGCUUUUUAGUCAGGUAAAUAUCAUUCUUAAGACUACGGAAAACAACAGGCGGCGAAGAAAACAUCUAUUUAUGAGAACUAUACACAUACUUAAGAAGGAAGUGACAUCUAUGGUAGCAGAACAUAUAUCAAGCUGUUGCAGCUACAUUAGCAGUUUAGCACAGUUCCUCCAUAAUACACAGGCUAGUGUAAUUUCACAAAUACAAUAAGCUAACAAUAUAUAUUUGGUAGAUGGAAAUGGCUGGAUCAUGAGCAAUAUACCAUUACACAUCCGAUGAUGCAAAUAAAGAAACGAGGCCCAACAAUAGUGGAAAAUAAACCACAAUAGAACAUGUAUUUGGCGAAACCUCCAUACUGCAAUAUCAAACAUGAAUUGAAAUUAACAAUCUAGCAAAAAAACAUGACAGAUGCAGUCUUGGUCAUUUUUCCUUUUGUGACAUCCCCUAAAAAAAGUAAAAACAAUGUUGUUCGUAUUUUACCAGAGAUACACUGAGCUGGGACAAAUCGGUCUGAAAUAAAAUAUGAUGGCUUCGGAGGAUUCGGAAGGCAAGAAAUUUGCUUUCUUCCAACAUAUAUGGUCUGCUGAACUAAACUUCGUUUCAACGGGCUUUGGCAAAAAUCUGUAACUGCAAACAUCAACUUGUGUGCCCUUCCUACGUCAAACUUUAAACUUGACGGAUUAAAUAUUUUAGGUUAGGCUGAGAUCAGUGUACUUUAUGAGUGUUAAGUGUACUUUCUAAAUAGCAGAGAAACCAUAACAUCUAAGCACAACCCAGCAACUUGUACAAGCUAACAUCAAAUCUGAAAGAGGAAAUGUCGAGAACAGGUGAAGGUACCAUGAUCCACGACUGAGCAAAGUUAUCUAUAAUCCUCGGUGAAUAUCAUAAAUUAGGAUCAACUACGCUAAAGAACAAACGGGAAAGGAACCUAGAAAGAUCUUCUGCCGGUAGAAUAUAACUGAUACACUAUCCUCGUUCUCGAGAUCAAGGUCGUUUCUUGAAUUGCAGUUUCCUCACUGUAGUAUGGGGUCAUUACACUGUGAAGAACAAAGUGUCAUAUGAAUCAUUUAGAGCCCAAUCUUUUUCACUGAAACUCUUAUGAUCACAUAACGAAUUUAAACAUAAGGUUUAUUAGAUAUUUGUUGUUGUGAACAGAUAAUAUAUUUCUGGUGUUGACAAUGUUUUGAUUAUGGAUGCACUUCAAGAUGGGUGGCACAGAUUCUGUUGUACAGGCCUCCACCUGGAAUUUCAUCACUUGUUAUUUUUGUUUUAGAAUGUCUAGGUGCAUUUUUCCUUUAAGGUGGAAACAGAUGUACUUGUAUAAGCAACAAGAAUACAAAGCGCCACUGCCAUACAUUGUGGAAGUUCAGUGCUUCUGUUUACAAAAUCUGCUUCCCAAAACAGAAGGAUUUAUAAUUUUUUAUUACAAUCAAGCGGACAUGAGCUGAUGAGUACAGAUGUAGACAUGUACUGAGAGCAGCACCCUUUCAAAAGUGGAUCAUUUACAAGUUGGAUAGUUUGAUGGUCUGAAAUUAGUGGUCGUGUUUCAGAAUUGUUAUCGAAUAGUAGGGGAUAUAUAUUAAAUUCUGAAAUUAGUGGUUGUUUGUCAGAACUGUUAUCGAAUAACAGAGCACAUAUAUUAACUUCAAUAAGUGGAGUAAUAUCUUUGGAUUCGCUGUGAGGAAAGAUUACCAAAACAAAACAGAAGUGAGCACUGGUAGAAAAUGGGCCUUUAGUCCCGGUUCGCAAAGGCCAUUAAUCCCGGCUGUGCAACCGGGACUAAANNNNNNNNNNNNNNNNNNNNNNNNNNNNNNNNNNNNNNNNNNNNNNNNNNNNNNNNNNNNNNNNNNNNNNNNNNNNNNNNNNNNNNNNNNNNNNNNNNNNNNNNNNNNNNNNNNNNNNNNNNNNNNNNNNNNNNNNNNNNNNNNNNNNNNNNNNNNNNNNNNNNNNNNNNNNNNNNNNNNNNNNNNNNNNNNNNNNNNNNNNNNNNNNNNNNNNNNNNNNNNNNNNNNNNNNNNNNNNNNNNNNNNNNNNNNNNNNNNNNNNNNNNNNNNNNNNNNNNNNNNNNNNNNNNNNNNNNNNNNNNNNNNNNNNNNNNNNNNNNNNNNNNNNNNNNNNNNNNNNNNNNNNNNNNNNNNNNNNNNNNNNNNNNNNNNNNNNNNNNNNNNNNNNNNNNNNNNNNNNNNNNNNNNNNNNNNNNNNNNNNNNNNNNNNNNNNNNNNNNNNNNNNNNNNNNNNNNNNNNNNNNNNNNNNNNNNNNNNNNNNNNNNNNNNNNNNNNNNNNNNNNNNNNNNNNNNNNNNNNNNNNNNNNNNNNNNNNNNNNNNNNNNNNNNNNNNNNNNNNNNNNNNNNNNNNNNNNNNNNNNNNNNNNNNNNNNNNNNNNNNNNNNNNNNNNNNNNNNNNNNNNNNNNNNNNNNNNNNNNNNNNNNNNNNNNNNNNNNNNNNNNNNNNNNNNNNNNNNNNNNNNNNNNNNNNNNNNNNNNNNNNNNNNNNNNNNNNNNNNNNNNNNNNNNNNNNNNNNNNNNNNNNNNNNNNNNNNNNNNNNNNNNNNNNNNNNNNNNNNNNNNNNNNNNNNNNNNNNNNNNNNNNNNNNNNNNNNNNNNNNNNNNNNNNNNNNNNNNNNNNNNNNNNNNNNNNNNNNNNNNNNNNNNNNNNNNNNNNNNNNNNNNNNNNNNNNNNNNNNNNNNNNNNNNNNNNNNNNNNNNNNNNNNNNNNNNNNNNNNNNNNNNNNNNNNNNNNNNNNNNNNNNNNNNNNNNNNNNNNNNNNNNNNNNNNNNNNNNNNNNNNNNNNNNNNNNNNNNNNNNNNNNNNNNNNNNNNNNNNNNNNNNNNNNNNNNNNNNNNNNNNNNNNNNNNNNNNNNNNNNNNNNNNNNNNNNNNNNNNNNNNNNNNNNNNNNNNNNNNNNNNNNNNNNNNNNNNNNNNNNNNNNNNNNNNNNNNNNNNNNNNNNNNNNNNNNNNNNNNNNNNNNNNNNNNNNNNNNNNNNNNNNNNNNNNNNNNNNNNNNNNNNNNNNNNNNNNNNNNNNNNNNNNNNNNNNNNNNNNNNNNNNNNNNNNNNNNNNNNNNNNNNNNNNNNNNNNNNNNNNNNNNNNNNNNNNNNNNNNNNNNNNNNNNNNNNNNNNNNNNNNNNNNNNNAUAUAGAGCUCAAAUGAUUGAAAAUAAUUACUUUUGCAGCAUUUUUCUCAUGUCGGCCCAACGCUUUGGAUCCGAAUCCAUAGAGUCCAUGAUUAGAACUCUGGAGGUGUGAAGUUCAAUAUUUAGCAGAAUCCAGUGGAACCUGCGGACACGUUACAUGCACAGUCAUGCAUAACUCAUCGAUUAGACAUACCAUGCAUGGAGUAAACAAAAGAGAAUGGGCACAAGAGAGAAACACUCACCCAAAAUGGUAAGGAAAUAGAAUAUGACUUUUGAGUUGAUGCUUUCUAAGAAACUUGUACAAGUCUUUCUCCAUGUCUUCGGGGUGAUUUUGUAACACAUGUCCAUUAACGAUAUGUGGGUCAAUGAACCCAACAUCAUGGAUGUUUCUUAUUUUGCAUUCCCAAAUCUUCAAUCUGCAUAAUAGCGUACGCAACAAUAUAGUUAGGACAAUAUAUAUAUAUAUAUAUAGUGCAGGCAAUGAAGAACGAGAUGAGGUAGAAAUAAAUCACUUACAUAACGUAGCAACUCAGGAUAGAUUUGUCGAGCUCGCGCAGAUUGAACAGCUGGAACAAUUCACUCAUAUGAACUUGUACAAAGUACCGUUUGGUGUGAUGCUCCUCUGUAACAUCCGCAUAAAUAUAUUCUUUGUCGGCCCAUGUUAUGAAUUGCUUGUACCAACGUAGAAGAUUUCGCAUUUGUGGUGGUAGACUCUUUUCCCGUGCAGGCUCGACGAGAGGCCCAUUCCGCACAUAUUGUAAUGCUAUCUCACAUACUGGCGCAUCCUCAAGGCCUAAGAUGGCACGAAGAGUCAAACCCAUCUCGGACGUUUGUUUCAUGGCACUCGCUACAGUCAAUCCAAGUGCUGCCGCAGCUCCUAUGAUCUCGGGGUCCUCUUCCGGACCGGCUUUCACUAUGAGCGGGGGGAUCGAUUGUUUAUUCUGCAUCCCGAGCUGGUCAACUUGUUUCCCGCUUUUUUUACUUUCUUCUUUCUCCUCCUUCAAUAUUUUUGCUUGCCAACGAAGUUCAUGUCAAUAGUCGUCAGGCAUAUUCAGCUCGGCUUGGGACGGUGUCGUCAAAAAAUCCUUAGCCCACUUCUUUUGCUUCUCAGUGAAUACUUGCUUGGGCUCAGGCUCUUUUUUCGAAUUCGUAUCCGCCUUCCAUUUCUCAUAAUGAGCAGACGCGGCCAAUUUGGUUUCAGCUUCACUAAGUUCCCAAGGCCUUGGGAGGAGAGGCUUCAGUGAUGGCUCCGGUACCCUUGUGGUCUUACGUACAUAAGGGUCCGGGUUAAUAGUCCAGGAGAGGGUUUCCUUGCUGUCCGCCUGCUUCUACUUCUUCGCCGGAGGUGGAUUGGGGGGCGUCGUACCCGCCGGAGGAGGAUUGGGGGGCGUCGUACCUGCCGGAGGAGGAUUGGGGGGCGGCGGCUGCUUACCCGCCGGAGGUUGUGGAUCGGGGGACGGCGUCGAAUGGCGUGAAGGAGGUGUAGGUGAACCACCACGACCACCACCACCACCACCACCAUCGGAGGGGGUGGACUUGUUAGCAUUGGCGCCUCGCCUGGAAACACUAUGUACUUCUUUUUCCAUAGAAUGAUCUGGCGCUUGACAUCUCCAAGUCUUCUCUCCCCUUCGGGUGUAGCUUUGUCAAUCUCCAGGUCCUCAAACUAUUGGACUAUGUCUUCCACCGUGACACGAGCAUAGCCAUAUGCAAUGGGGUUGUUGUGGUGGAGUGCUCCAGGUGUACAGGGUAAAGCACUGCCAGUAGCUACCUUCGUGGAAACGUUCCCCACGGGAUAAUGCAGAUCACAUUCUUUCAUCUCCUUUACAUCAUCCACGGGGUAGUGAGGCUCCGGUGCACGAAUCUCGAUCAUCGGUGCAUUAGCACCAGGCGGGGCAUCCGUGGAAGCCACGCUGCUUCUCCGCUGCUGGCUUCCGCGAUCCGCUUCAUGAUCUUCAUGCGGCCCUGCAGCCGAUUUUUCUUUUACUAGUUCAUGCACGGUCUGCUUCAACUCAUGGAGUUCCGAUGCAAACUUCACCAAAAGAUCUGCAUCCCGGUCCGUCUUUCUCUUACGGCUUCUGUAACAGUACGGGUCAUUGUCCUGGGAAAACCCUACUUUCCACGAAAUUCUGCCUUUGCCUCGUACACGUCCUCCGUGUUCAUCAUUCCGAGGGCUGUUGUCAGUGCGUCUUUCUCUCUGUUGAACUUGAUCAAGCCCUCUUGAGCUUGGGUCAUUGCGUCAAUAAGGGCUUGGGUGGGAGCAAACUUUUUCUUCCGGUGAACACACACCCCUGUCUCCGGGUCUAGCGAUCCCCCAUGCCCGUACCACCAGCUUUUGGCCCUUGGGUCCCAUCCCUCUGUACCUAGAGGGAUUCCUCGCACCCUCAGGUCCUCCUCCAUCUUCUGCCACUUAGGCUCCGAAAGGCGGUAUCCUCCUGGCCCCAUAAUAUGAUGGAACUUUUUCUUACUCGCAUUAUCCUUAUUUUUUCCGACAUUUCCUUGAAAUGCUCUGAUUUUUUUUGCCUCACAAAUUCUGGCCAAUCAUCUUUCAGUUUCUCAUGUUGUCCAUUGAAAUCCGGAGUCUUGCCCUUGUUGACAUAGUCACGGGUUAAAUUUUUCUUGAAGUUCCGGAAUGCUUCGCCCAUCUUCUCAAGAGCGAACUCUUUAACUAGCCUCCUCCUCUCACGUCCACCCGGAACCUCGUUACCGAAUUCAUCGACUUUGUUGUAUUCCGGAGGUAGAAUGAAAUGUUCCAUAAGCUUUUUCCAGCAAUCCUUUUUCGUUCUCUUGUCGACAAAACUGAAACCAAGACGUGCCUUCUUUGGCUCCUUCCAUUCCUGGACGGUGAUCGGGACGUUGUCUCUAACAACGACUCCACAUUGGUUGAUAAACUUUGAGGUGUGCUGUAGGGGCUUGCCGGUUUCACUGACAAAAUCAAUGGCAUAUGUUUCUCCUUUUUUCAUCGCCUUGGAUUUGCCACGCUUUGUCGUACUCGAUCCGGCCGAGGGUCGCGCACGUUAAUACAUAUGUAUUCGCAUUUCAGUAAGUUUGUAUCACGAGAGGCUCAAUGUAUAUAUAUACCUCGCCGGAGGUGGUUGCUACUUGCAAUUCGAGAUUGUCGUUUGUUGACGGUUGACCUCCGUUGACAAUGUCCGUUCCUUCACCUUCUUGAUCAUCGACAAUGUCUGUUCCACCGUCAAGGUUCAGAAAAGAAGAGACUACAUCCUCUUCUUGCUCAUAUUCUGAGCCCGGCACAUAAGGAAUCUCGUUGUUUAUGAUGCCCAUUAAAUAACGUUCAGCCUCCGGAUCCCUAAGCGGCUCGGCUCUAUCGUCCGCCAUAUGUCACUCCUGCAUGUAGUCAAAAUUAAUUAAGUAUAAAGGAAUUAAAAAAUAAGAUUAAGGGGACAUAGAGGAGGAGCAGCUACGGUUGAAUGAUUAAGAGCUAUUAAAAAAUAAAAUUGAUGUUUUUCCUUUUCUUUUUCCUUUUCUUUUUCCUCUCUACUCUCUCUUUCCUUUUCUUUUUCCUUUUCUUUUCCUUUUCUUUUUCCUUUAUACAAUUAUUCCCAAAUAAAUUUCCUUUUCUUUUUCCUUUUCUUUUUCCUCUCUGCUCUCUCUUUCCUUUUCUUUUUCCUUUUCUUUUUCCUUUAUACAAUUAUUCCCAAAUAAAUUUCCUUUUCUUUUUCCUUUUCUUUUUCCUCUCUGCUCUCUCUUUCCUUUUCUUUUUCCUUUUCUUUUUCCUUUUCUUUUUCCUCUCUACUCUCUCUUUCCGUUUGUUGACGGCAGGCGGCGGCGGGAGGCAGAGGAGGGCAGGCCNNNNNNNNNNNNNNNNNNNNNNNNNNNNNNNNNNNNNNNNNNNNNNNNNNNNNNNNNNNNNNNNNNNNNNNNNNNNNNNNNNNNNNNNNNNNNNNNNNNNNNNNNNNNNNNNNNNNNNNNNNNNNNNNNNNNNNNNNNNNNNNNNNNNNNNNNNNNNNNNNNNNNNNNNNNNNNNNNNNNNNNNNNNNNNNNNNNNNNNNNNNNNNNNNNNNNNNNNNNNNNNNNNNNNNNNNNNNNNNNNNNNNNNNNNNNNNNNNNNNNNNNNNNNNNNNNNNNNNNNNNNNNNNNNNNNNNNNNNNNNNNNNNNNNNNNNNNNNNNNNNNNNNNNNNNNNNNNNNNNNNNNNNNNNNNNNNNNNNNNGCAGGGCAGGGCAGGGGCGGCGGCGGCAGUGCAGGGCAAGGGCGGCGGCGUAGGGCAGGGGAAGUGGGGGGCGGCGGAGCUCACUGGGGGCAGGGCGCUGGUGUCGGGGCAGGGCGUCGGCGUCGAUCGGCGUCGGGGCAGCAGCCUGGCGGCGUCGGCGUCGAUCGGCGUCGGGGCAGGGCGUCGGCGUCGAGAGGAGAAUGAGAGGUGGGGGAAAAUUUACUAAGUGUUAUAUAUAUAGACAGAGCAUUAGUCCCGGUUGGGGACGCCAACCGCGACUAAAGGUACCUUUAGUCGCGGUUGGUCUCCCCAACCGGGACUAAAGGUUCUUUCGCGCCGCUUUCGUUCCCGCGCGGAAAGAGCCUUUAGUCGCGGUUCGUGUCACGAACCGCGACUAAAGGUCCUUUUUCAUAUACUUUUCAGAAAAUACAAAUAAUAUAUCAAAAAAUUCAGAAAAAUAAAACUAAUUCAUUUUAAAAUCUUAAAAAUAGAAAUAAUAUAUCAAAAAAUUCAGAAAAAUAAAANNNNNNNNNNNNNNNNNNNNNNNNNNNNNNNNNNNNNNNNNNNNNNNNNNNNNNNNNNNNNNNNNNNNNNNNNNNNNNNNNNNNNNNNNNNNNNNNNNNNNNNNNNNNNNNNNNNNNNNNNNNNNNNNNNNNNNNNNNNNNNNNNNNNNNNNNNNNNNNNNNNNNNNNNNNNNNNNNNNNNNNNNNNNNNNNNNNNNNNNNNNNNNNNUUAAAAUCUUAAAAAUAGAAAUAAUAUAUCAAAAAAUUCAAAAAAAUAAAACUAAUUCAUUUGAAAAUCUUAAAAAUACAUAUAAUAUAUCAAAAAAUUCUGAAAAAUAAAACUAAUUCAUUUUAAAAAUUCAGACCGAUUGUUUUGUUCUACAUCCUCGAUCCCUUGAAGGUUUGACAAAAGGUUUGAUACAUCAUUCAGUUCAUCGGCCAAAUACAAAUCAUCCGGAUUCGCCAUCGUACGUUUUAAUUCACAUGAUCCAUUCAACAAAGUUUGGUACAAUAAAUUAUUACACAUCAAUUCUUCCCGUGUGUCCCUGCUUGCUUACGAUUGUGCCGUAUCCAUGGAGCAUCCUCAUCAUUUAACUUAAUGCUUGGGUCAGUGUUCACUUUGAAGGGCGGAAUUUCACCAAACAUAUUAUAAUCUUCUGACAUGUCUGUCUUGUCCUCCACUCCCACAAUGUUUCUUUUCCCUGAAAGAACAAUGUGGCGCUUUGGAUCAUCGCAUGAUGUACUGAUCGUUUUCUUAUCUUUCCGUUUCCUCGGUUUGCUACUCAUGUCCUUCAAAUAAAAAACCUGAGCGACAUCUUUGGCAAGGACGAAUGGUUCGUCAAGGUAACCAAGAUUGUUGAAAUCCACCAUUGUCAUUCCGUAUUGCUCGUCCACCUUUACCCCACCUCCUGUUAGCUUGAACCAUUUGCACCGGAACAAAGGGACCUUAAAGGAGGGUCCAUAGUCAAGUUCCCAUAUCUCCUCUAUGUGACCAUAAUAUGUGACCUUUUGCCCAUUCUCGGUUGCUGCAUCAAAGCGGACACCACUGUUUUGGUUGGUGCUCUUUUUAUCUUGGGCGAUGGUGUAAAAUGUAUUCCCAUUUAUCUCGUACCCUUGGAAAGUCGUUAUAGUCGAAGAUGGUGUCUUGGCCAACAUGUACAGCUGAUCUCCAACAUCAUUGUCAUUCAUUAAAUGUUUUCGCAACCAACUGCCGAAAGUCUCCAUGUGGGCCUUUCUAAUCCAGGAUUCAGGUUUCCCCGGGUUGUCCGAGCGUAAAAUAUUCUUGUGUUGCUCGAACUACGGAGCCACCAAGCUGGAAUUUUGUAGAACUGUGUGGUGUGCUUCAGUCAUAGAAUGACCGUCCAUACAUAUCGUUGAUUUCCUUCCGAUCGUGCCUUUUCCACUUAGUCUCCCCUCGUGCCGCGAUUGAGGAAUACCAAUCGGCUUAAGGUCAGGAACAUAGUCAAUACAGAACUCAAUUACCUCCUCAUUUCCAUAGCCCUUGACGAUGCUUCCUUCUGGCCUAGCACGGUUACGAACAUAUUUCUUUAAUACUCCCGUGAACCUCUCAAAGGGGAACAUAUUGUGUAGAAAUACAGGACCGAGAAUGGAAAUCUCUUCGACUAGGUGGAGCAGGAGGUGCGUCAUAAUAUCGAAGAAGGAUGGUGGGAACACCAACUCAAAACUGACAAGGCAUUGGACCACAUCGUUCUGUAACCGUGGUAGAUCUUCUGGAUUGAUUACCUUCUGAGAGAUUGCAUUGAGGAAUGCACAUAGCUUCACAAUGGCUACUCGAACAUUUUCCGGUAAGAGCCCCCUCAAAGCAAUCGGAAGAAAUUGCGUCAUAAUCACGUGGCAGUCGUGAGACUUCAGGUUUAGGAACUUUUUGUCCGCCAUGUUUAUUAUUCCCUUUAUAUUCGACGAGAAGCCAGACGGGACCUUCAUACUGCUCAGGCAUUCAAAAAAUGACCUUCUCUUCUUUGGUAAGAGCGUAGCUGGCACGACCUUGAAACCAUUCCGGAUGCCGGUCAUCUGGGUCUUUCAAAAGUUGUUGGUCCUGCCGUGCUUCCUUUGUAUCAUUUGUCUUCCCAUACACGCCCAAGAAGCUUAGCAGGUUCACGCAAAUAUUCUUCGUAACAUGCAUCACGUCGAUUGCAGAGCGGACAUCUAGGACUUUCCAAUAUUCUAGCUCCCAAAAUAUAGAUUUCUUCUUCCACAUGGGUGCGUGCCCGUCAACUCCCCGCGGAACUGAUUGUCCGCCAGGACCCUUUCCAAAGAUGACUUUCAAAUCCUUGACCAUAUCAAAUAUCUCAGCACCAGUACGUUCCGCAGGCUUCGGCCGGUGAUCUGCCUUGCCGUUGAAAUGCUUGCCUUUCUUUCUUACGUUAUGAUUUCGGGGAAGAAAUCGACGAUGACCCAGGUACACGUUCUUCUUACAAUUACCCAAACGUACACUUUCAGUCUCAUGUAAGCAGUGCGUGCAUGCAUUGUAUCCCUUAUUUGUCUGUCCCGAAAGGUUACUGAGAGCAGGCCAAUCGUUGAUGGUUACAAAAAGCAACGCUCGUAGGUCAAAUUCCUCUUCUUUGUGCUCAUCCCAGACACGUACACCAGCUCUGCCCCACAACUGUAAAAGUUCAUCAACUAAUGGCCUUAGGUACACAUCGAUGUCGUACCCGGGUUGCUUUGGACCUUGGAUGAGCACUGGCAUCAUAAUGAACUUCCGCUUCAUGCACAACCAAGGAGGAAGGUUGUAGAUGCAUAGAGUCACGGGCCAGGUGCUAUGGCUGGAGCUCUGCUCGCCAAAAGGAUUCAUGCCAUCAGUACUUAGACCAAAUCUUAUGUUCCUUGCGUCAGCUGCAAAAUCUUUGAACACUCUGUCGAUCUUUCUCCAUUGCGUUCCAUCAGCGGUGUGUCCCAACUCCCCGUCGGACUUACGGUCCUCUUUGUGCCAUCGCAACGACUUGGCAUGCUUUUUGUUCCUGAACAGACGUUUCAACCGUGGUAUUAUAGGAGCAUACCACAUCACCUUGGCGGGAACCCUCUUCCUGGGUUUCUCGCCCUCAACAUCGUCACCAGGGUCAUCGCCUCUGAUCUUAUAACGCAAUGCAGUGCAUACAGGGCAUUCAUUCAAAUUCUCGUAUUCACCGCGGUAGAGGAUGCAGUCGUUAAUGCAUGCAUGUAUCUUCAGAACCUCUAAACCUAGAGGGCAGACAACCUUCUUUGCUUCGUACGUACUGGCGGGCAACUCGUUAUUCUUCGGAAACAUAUUCUUCAACAUUUUCAGCAAAUUUUCAAAUGAUGAGUCAGCUACACCUUCCUGUGCCUUCCAUUUUAGCAAAUCCAGUGUGCAACCCAACUUUUUCAGACUAUUAUCGCAUCCUGGGUACAACGACUUUUUGUGAUCCUCUAACAUGCGAUCCAAAUUCUCCCUCUCCUUGUCAGUUUCGCAGCGUCUCCGUGCAUCAGCAAUGGUCCGACCAAGAUCAUCAGCGGGCUCAUCAUGUGCCUCUUCUUCACCUUCACCUAACCCUUCCCCACCUUCAGCAUCAUCCUCCAUGAAAGUAUCACCGAAAUGAUCAUGAUAGUUGUCAUCGAUAUCAUCCCCUUCUUCAUCUUGUUCCAUUCUAACCCCUCUUUCUCCAUGCUUGGUCCAACAAUUAUAGCUUCGCAUGAAACCGUGCCGAAGCAGGUGCAUGUGAACGUCUCUUGAGGAGGAGUAACCCUUCUGAUUCUUACAGACACCACAUGGACAGAUAAUAAAACCUCGCUGCUUGUUCGCAUUUGCCACUACGAGGAAAUCUUUCAAACCCGUAGUGAACCGCCGGAGAGUCGGGGACCGUACAUCCAUUGCCGAUUCAUCUGCAUUAUUAUUAUAUAAAGUAUAUAAUUAACCAUCAUGCAUUUGUUAAACUAACUAGCUAGAAAUAAUACAAAUUAAACAAUGAACUACACACAUCCAUAUUUUAUCAAUGACACAUGAAAGGUUCAAGUUGCUAACCGCGAUCGCGGAGGAAAAAUAAAUGAGAAAGCUCAAGUGUGGCUCGGACACUUCAUAUCAUGUUUGUUUCAUGCUCUCGGGCAUUUCAUCGAACACCUUGUGUGCAUAGGAGGAACCAAAAGCAAACCCACCAGCCCCCUUCUGAAUUGUGGCUAAGUGAAGUGAGCUGAGUCCUAUAUAUAGGGAUGGGCCUUUAGUCCCGGCUGGCCUGGCCAACCGCAACUAAAGGCCUUCGGGCCAGCCUGAGGACCUUUAGUCCCGGUUGGCCAGGCCAACCGGGACUAAAGCCCCUCCCGUCCGCCAGCUGUCGACCGAGCGCGCUGGGCCCAGAUAGUUGGUCGCGGGUCUCCUCCCGAACCGCGACUAAAGACCCCUUUGGUCGCGGUUCGAUUAUUUUAGAGACUAAUGGGGGCGUAUGGAAGCCUCUGUUUCUACUAGUGGAGUGCGACGACCCAGAUGAGGGCGCUCUUGAGCUUCUUCCCGACCGACCUAGAUGCAGGAGCAGACCACGGCGGAUCUAAUCAGCCAACGAAUAAAACUGAGGCAGGUAGAGGAAGUAAGGGAGGAAGAAGACUGACUUGUCCUGGUCGCCCUCGUAGUAGAACCUGUGUUUUGAUUUUCGGCCAAAAAAGUGGAUUUCGGCCAUCUCGGCCUGGGGCAAAAAGUGUAUUUAGGCCGAAAUUGUUCAAAUUUAGCAAAUUUUGGUCAAAUUUAAGUCAAAUUGCAGUCAAAAUUUGGUCAAAUUUCAGCCGAAAUUUUUGAAAAUGGCCGAAAUUCGGCCAUCUCAGCCUAGGGAGAAAAAAAAGCUGAAACCAAAAAUCAAAACACAGAGUAGAACAUGGCGAACAGGAUGACGAGGACAGCGUCGAGGAUGUAGACGACGAGCCAGAGCAUGUUCAUGGGCAGGAUCAAGCAUGGGCAGGAUAAGGGUGCAGGCCCCGUUGUAGGCGGCAUGCUUGCAGGCCUGGCGGUUGGCGACGUCGGCGGGGAGCAUGAGGAUGGAGAGGACGGCGACGGUGAUGCCGAGCACGACGACGAGCUUGAGGAAGUAGGCCUGGUUGGCAUCAUCCGGGUGCUGGUAGUUGACGAGGAGCACCAGGAUGCUGACCACCGCCGCCACGAUCACUAGCGCCACGUUAAAAAAACCAUCUCCUCGGGGCUCCGGUCCCGGUUCCGGCCCGCCGCCUCGCCCCCUUGGUCGGUCAGAUCUCUCUGUCCCUAGAGGCGGGGGGAUACAGGCUAGGGUUUGGGCGUGGGCGGGGAAUAGGCUGCUAUGGUGCCGGCAGCGGGGCGUGUAGGAGAGAAGGAUUAGGAGGAAUAAUUCACCACACUUUGAUUAAGCUCUCGGCUGGUUCUUAUGUACAGAUUACAGGGCCAGCCAGGGAGAUCAUGGGGUGAUCCACUACCUGGGAUCGUGCGCCACGAUCACUACAUGCGUGCGCCACGAUCAUACACACACACGCUACACCUAGUGUCUACGCAACUACGGUAUAGCAGUACAGUACAGCCUAACACCCCCCGGAGUCGUGACGUCGGCGGCGGCGACGCAAAGACUGGACCGGAACUCAGAGAAAACAUCCGAUGGCAGGCCUUUGGUCAUGAUGUCGGUGUGUUGUUGGCGCGUGGGGAUGUGAAGAACACGGAAGUGGCCGAGGGCGACGCGCUCCCGCACGAAAUGGAUGUCCAGCUCCACAUGCUUAGUGCAGCGAUGAUGCACCGGAUUGGCUGACAGGUAGACUGCGGACACAUUGUCACAGUACACAAGUGCCGCCUUGGUCAUUGGAGCGGAGAGCUCGCCGAGAAGCUGGCGGAGCCAGAUGCAUUCAGCGACCGCGUUGGCGACGCCGCGGUAUUCAGCUUCGGCGCUGGAGCGCGAUACGGUCGCCUGGCGCUUGGAGGACCAGGAGACGAGAGCAUCGCCGAGGAAGACGCAGAAGCCCGACGUGGAGCGUCGGGUGUCGGGGCAGCCGGCCCAGUCCGCAUCGGUGAACGCACGGACGUCGAGCAUGGUCGAGGCGUGAAGAUGAAGCCCGAGUGCGCAGGUGCCCUUCACGUACCGGAGCACGCGCUUUACGAGCGCGAGGUGGCAUUCGCGCGGGUCAUGCAUGUGUAAGCAGAUUUGCUGGACGGCGUAGGCGAUCUCUGGACGCGUGAUGGUGAGGUACUGCAGGGCCCCGGCGAUGCUCCGAUAGGCCGAAGGGUCGUCGACGCAUGGCCCAUCGGCUGAGGGGAGUUUGCUCUUCGUGUCGAUGGGUGUCGGGGAAGGGCGGCAGGUGUCCAUGCCGGCGCGUUCCAGGAGCUCGUCGGCAUAUUGUUGUUGCGACAGGAAGAAGCCAGCUCGGGUGCGGGUGACGCGCAUGCCGAGGAAGAAGGCGAGCGAGCGCAGGUCCUUCAUGGCGAAUUCGCCUGUGAGGCGCUGGAUGACAUGGUGAAGCACGCGUGACGAGGACGCGGUGAGCACGAUGUCGUCGACGUAGAGGAGGAGGAACGCCAUGUCGUUGCCGUGCCGGAAGGUGAACAGCAACGAGUCCGAACGCGUAGCUGCGAAGCCAAUGGAGCGGACGAAGCCGGCGAAGUGGAGGAACCAGGCACGGGGCGCCUGCUUGAGCCCGUACAAGGACUUGGAGAGGCGGCAGACGUGCUCUGGUUUGUCGGGGUCGAUGAAUCCGGCGGGCUGGAGGCAGUAGACUUCCUCCUCAAGUUUCCGUGGAGGAAGGCAUUGGAGACGUCGAGGUGGUGCACCGGCCAGCCGCGCGACGCGGCCAUAGUGAGCACCAUGUGGAUCGUCACUGGCUUGACGACGGGGGAGAACGUCUCGCCGUAGUCGACGCCGGCACGCUGAUGAAAGCCCCGCACGACCCAGCAUGCUUUGUAGCGGGCCAGCACGCCGUCGGCGUCGUUUUUGUGCUUGAAGAUCCGCUUCCCUGUGAUCAGGUUGGCGCCGGGGGGGAGCGGGGCACCAGCUCCCACGUGCGAUUGCGCACGAGCGCAUCGUACUCAGCACACAUGGCAGCGAGCCAGUUCGGGUCGCGAACAGCAGCACGAACCGAACGCGGCACCGGCGACACCGAUGAUGAGCUAGAGGCGGUGGCCGCGUCGUAGUAGCGCGGCUUGGGGCGGAAGAUGCCGCGCUGGGCACGCGUGACCAUGGGCACAGGAGGCGCCGGUGCGCGGGGCGCCGCUGGUGGCGCGCUCGGAGACGAGCUGUCGGAGGAGCCACUGGGGAGUUGUCGGAGGAGGCGCUGGCGGAGGCGAAGACAAGCGGACCAGGCGCGGAUGGGCACGUCGAGGACGGAGCCGAGCCGCCAUCGGAAGCGCCCGCAGCGUACCGCGAGCUGACGCGGCGCGCCCCGCUGGUUGGCGAUGAUGAGCGGGGCAAGCCGGUGAUGGAGAUCAGGCGCGCCGGCAGCACGGGUGACAUGCUGCUGUCAGGCACCGGUGGAAGCGCGGGCAGCGCAGGAGGCCGGACGACGAGCGGGAUCUGCAGGUUAGAGGGUACGACGGGUGGCGUAGGCGACGGGGAAGAGGAUGCGAACGGGAAAACGUGUUCGUGGAAGAGAACGUGGCGAGACGUGAGGACGCGGCGAGAGGUGAGGUCAAAGCAGCGAAAACCACGAUGAUCGGGAGGGUACCCGAGGAAGACGCAGGCGAUAGAACGUGGCUCGAGCUUAUGGCGGGUGGUGGCGGUGACGUUCGGAUAGCAGAGGCAUCCAAAGACGCGGAGCUGCGAGUAAUUUGUGCGGGCAUGCGGUGACGUUCGGAUAGAUGCGGAGUAAUUUGUGCGACGCCGAGCAGGAGUUCAUGCGGAGUGCAGGGCGCCGAGGCGCGGCAGGGCCGACGAUUGAGCAGGUAGGUCGAGGUGUUGAGAGCCUCUGCCCAGAAGCGAGCGGGCAUGUGCGCAUGACAGAGAAGCACACGAACACCGUCGUUGAUCGUGCGGAGAACUCGCUCGUCCUUGCCGUUCUGCCGUGGCGAGCAAGCAGAGAGCGCGCGGCUGCACUGUCGAAUUCACGACCGUUGCCCGUUUCCAGUGCAAGUAUGGGUAACUGAAACUGAGUCUGAACAUAGGCAAAGAAAUCAACAAGUAUGGGAAGAACUUCAGACUUGUGUUUCAGAGGGAAAGUCCAGACAUAGUGACUGAAAUCAUCUAGUACAACUAAGUAAAACUGAUAGCCGGAUAUGCUUACAACGGGAGCGGUCCAUACAUCAAGGUGUAAAAGCUGGAAAGGAAAGAAACUAGCAGUGGUGGAUGUCUGAAACGUGUUGGAUCGAUGUCCGUGUAGCCCGCUUCUUUCUCUGUAGGAAGGACGCGGUUACGCUCGCGUUGACAUCGGAUGACUCGAUCACAUGCACGGGAGGGGCGGUACGACAUGGCACCGCCACGCCACCGUGCUCCCUCCCAGUGCCGACCUGGAGCAACUUGCCACUCCUCAGCUCGUGACCGGUGGGCUUGACGGGCCACCUAGCCAUUUUUUAUGCCAGACAACUCUUCUUCCUGCUCAUCAGAUGUCAUGGAUAAAACUGUUUAAGGAGGAAAAUGAUGAGUGGACGUGUGAUGCGGUUCUUGCCCAACAUCUGACAUUGUUUAAAUAGCGAGGGGACACGAGAGGAGCCAACUGGCGUUCUGUUUAAUGCCAACCGGCUCGUGAACGAACAUGUGGCCGGAGUAAUUAUCCUGGCACACACGAGGGUUUAAUGGUGGAAGGCGGGCAGUCUGCAGGAAUGAGGCGAGGAUGUGUGCUUAGCCGGCGUGCAGUAGGCGGCGCCCUCGGCCGGCGUGCUGCUUCCAUUGCGGAGGCAGUGAGAGGUCGCGUCCGCUCUGCAGCGCAUGAAUGCGGGCAGCUGGCGCAGAGCGGGAACGCGUGCGGGCGAGGGAGGAGGGGGUUUGGGCGGGUGGUCAGAAGAGGUCGUGGGUGUUGUCCGAACGCCUGCAAAUCCCCCCUCCAUAUUUGUCUCCAGUUUGCGGGAGAAAGUACGUCCGGACCGUCUCCAAUGGACCAAUACAGGCCCGCAUUAGAUGGCACAACACGUCCGGACCAUGUGGUCCGGAUGGUUGUGGACAGUUUAAUUGAGGGUCGGCGUUGGAGAUGCCUUAGAGUUUAUGAAUCCAUUGUGUUUUUCUAAUCAUAAAAAAGCACUUACAAUAAGUUAUAAGGAAAGACACGUUUAUAUGUUAGGUUCAGACUCCAGGUUUCGUUUUACAUAUGCUUUAUUCAUCCGACUGAUUCCAAUAGAGUGAGCCUAGCGUUGUUUUUCUGGAAACUCGCGGGAUAAGGAGACAUGCAUACACAUUCUUUCAAGCAAAUCACAUCCAUUCUUUUUAACUCAUUUUUCUUCUUUUAAUAAUAUAAUAGAUCAUUUAUAUUUUUUAUCUGAAACAGUUGACGUGUAAUUUAUAUUGUAAUCUGAGGAUAAUGUUUGGAUUUUACUUUCAAAUAUAUUUGAAAUGGCCAUGAUGGAAUCACAUCCAUUUAUUUUAUUAUUAUUUGAAUUUGAUCCAAAAGAUAAAUAAUGAGUUGAGGUCAUGUCAACUUUUCUGAGAACUUUGCUAAUCAAAAUAUAAAUUGUAUUUAAAAAAUCUAUUUUUUAGCACGCAUGAAAAACAUAACACGUAUCUUUUCACACAUAAUGAACGGUUGUCAUAAGAACUCAUGCCAUGCCACAACCUCCCUCCGACCCUGCCAACAUUGUUGCAGCUGCACUCGCAAGCCUUAGCGUAGAUGAUAAUUUAUACAAUUUGCGUAAAACAAAAUAAGAUCUACAAAUUAAUAGAAGCUAGAACGUACAUUGGCAUGCACACACAUUGCAAGCUAUACUAAGCUGAUAAGUGUUAAUAACUUGUACAACAUAUACAACACUUAAGACAAGUAAAAGCAAUUUGAUGAGUCAUGGUCUAUCAAAGCCACAUUACUAGUCUAAUCCAUCUUAACAGGUCACACAUGAUUAAAAUCUUGUUUGUGUGCAAGUCAAGCUUAUCUAGUUUACAUGUAACAACUUGUAGAACAUUAAAAAAUUUAUGUUUGCUAAUAACUUCUAGAACACUACAACACUUGACAUGUAAAAGGAAUUUGAUGAGUCAUGGCCUACUAAAGCAAGUUAUAUUACUAGUCUUAUCUACCUUAACAGGCCACACAAGAUUACAAACCAAGUUCUGUGCCAGCCAUGCUUAUCUAGUUUAUGCGUAACAAUUUGCAGAAAAUUACAAACUUAGUUUCAGAAAAAUAGGCAAUCUAGAUUAGUGUUUGAGCUAUAAAGUGAAUAAAAUGAGUCAUCUGUGUUAUCACACCUUUUUGGUUGUGGAAUGAUAGUGCAACAACAAGGAACUUUAAUGACCAGUUCAAGAAUACACUUGUAAGUAGUGCCACCGAACACAACAUACCAAAUUAUGAUUUUGAGAAGCAUCCAAGCACUUCCACACAAGCAAAUGCCAAUUGUGAAAGAGAUCAUGCCAUGGCAGCUAUAAAUAGGCCCGUAGCAUGACGAUCAUCCUUCCUCAUCCAUCAUUCUCAAAAGUAGAGCGCAUCAUUUAAGCCAAGCAAGCAGUGCUCAAUACAAAUCCACCAUGAAGACCUUUCUCAUCCUUGCCCUCCUUGCUAUUGUAGCAACCACCGCCACAAUUGCAGUUAGAGUUCCAGUGCCACAAUUGCAGCCACAAAAUCCAUCUCAGCAACAACCACAAGAGCAAGUUCCAUUGGUACAACAACAGCAAUUUCCAGGGCAGCAACAACCAUUUCCACCACAACAACCAUAUCCGCAGCCGCAACCAUUUCCAUCACAACAACCAUAUCUGCAGCUGCAACCAUUUCCACAGCCGCAACUACCAUAUCCGCAGCCGCAACUACCAUAUCCGCAGCCGCAACCAUUUCGACCACAACAACCAUAUCCACAACCGCAACCACAGUAUUCGCAACCACAACAACCAAUUUCGCAGCAGCAACAACAACAACAACAACAAAUCCUUCAACAAAUUUUGCAACAACAACUGAUUCCAUGCAGGGAUGUUGUAUUGCAACAACACAACAUAGCGCAUGGAAGGUCACAAGUUUUGCAACAAAGUACUUACCAGCUGGUGCAACAAUUGUGUUGUCAGCAGCUGUGGCAGAUCCCCGAGCAGUCGCGGUGCCAAGCCAUCCACAAUGUUGUUCAUGCUAUUAUUCUGCAUCAUCAUCAACAACAACAACAACAACAACAACCGUUGACCCAGGUCUCCUUCCAACAGCCUCAACAACAAUAUCCAUCAGGCCAGGGCUCCUUCCAGCCAUCUCAGCAAAACCCACAGGCCCAGGGCUCUGUCCAGCCUCAACAACUGCCCCAGUUUGAGGAAAUAAGGAACCUAGCGCUAGAGACGCUACCUGCAAUGUGCAAUGUCUAUAUCCCUCCAUAUUGCACCAUUGCUCAAGUUGGCAUCUUCGGUACUAACUGAGAAGAGAAGAACUCUAGUAGUAGAUAUAU
rnacentral:lncRNA from 1 species